rnacentral:lncRNA from 1 species
UCGUUUCGCACUUCUUCCCGGAGUAUUUGUCGACCCCCGGGCAAGCCGACCUCUUAUCAUGAGCCCCGAACUUGCAUGUUGACUUUGCUUGCACCUUGUGUGUGUGUGUGUAGUUGCAGUUGUUUCUUAUCAUUUUCGUCUGCAGUUAUCUUAUUAUGCUUAUUAUGCAUGCUUGUGUUUUCAUGCUACUUAUUGCCAUGAUAAUUAGAAUGUUGCUAUUGAUGAUGCCAUUUCACUACUCUAAUUCAUUUUCAAGUCAUCAUUCUAAAAUGCUAUGAUGAUGGUAAUGCAUCAUGGAUAUGUUAGUAUUUGGUAUUGUCAUGUUCGUUAUACUGUAAGUGUUCACUUGAGAAGCCCGAUGUUUUGUUAAAGCAUUUGUAUGAGGUAUGCUCAUUGUUGUAUUCAUGUUAAAAUGCUGGUAUGAUGGUUGAUGAUGGAGAAGAUAAUAAUAUGACUUAAUAACAAAACCCCUCCAUCAUCGAUGGGAUCGAGUCAUAGUGCCGCCAAAUCGAACUUUUUCCAAGUGCAACCACAUUUGCCGGUAUGGAACGGCCUUAAUGCGGUCUAUUGUCGUAUUGGUCGAUGCCUCCAACUAGGGAAGGUUAUGGGCGCGCGCUACCCUGAUCAGGUAGGCGGAGCAUAACCUUGUGAGCCCGUUGUUAAGUUAAGUUUUGGUACCGGAUCCCAGAGUGGAUCGUGGCCACGACGGUGGUCAAGGUGUUUGGAGGUAGACACGGGGCCACCCAGGACUAGUCCAGUGGGGAGUGAGUAGGAGUGGCCGGGAGAGUGUCAUGACAGUAGAUCGGUUUCAUCGGAAUGCCGUUGGUCCACCCGAGUGGGAUGAUGAGGCUAUGGGUUCCGUUCUGCAGAGUGUAUUUAAACUAUCGAUAGCCGCGUCCUCGGUCAUGGGCAUAAGUUCGUAGUAGUGUACACUAUCGGGUCUUGGUCGAAAUGGAGGAUAAACCUGAAAUAAUUAAGCUGGGCCAGAUGUGGUCAGGUUGUGAUCACCGUAAGGAUCACGGGCCGGAUAUGGUCGAGUUGUGAUCGCCGUAAGGAUCACGGGCCAGUUGUUGGUCGGGUUGUGAUCGCCGUAAGGAUCACGAGUUUGUCUAUGUUGCUGAUCAGGAGGUGAGGUGAUCACCGGUGGUAAGAGAGUCCGAGGGACUCGGUACACAAGUUUGGUUGCAUUGCAUGAGUAAUAUGUUUGCAUUUAAAGAACCAUGAGAUGGUUGCAUAAAGUUGACAUGCUAUGUCUGCAUUUGAUAUGAUUGGUAGUUUAUUUAUGCCAUGCCAUGCUUUGAUUGAUAUGAUUGAGAUGAUAUGCUAUGUUUGGAUAUUGACAAGUUAGAAGUAAAUUUGAUAUACCAUGUUGUUGCCAUGCUAGUGGAUUCCAUGAUGUUAGUUUGAUUUAUGCCUUAGGUUGAUAUCAUGCCAUGCUUAGUUCUGAUAUGAGAUGGUUAUUGCAUUCGCUUGGUUCUUGCUCUGUCUUCUGCUUGUUUGGAUGCUAUGUAUUUGGUUGUCUUGAAAGUACAUUCAAUGUACUGACCUGGCGUGUCAUGCCAGUUUUGUAGGUCACUCAUUUGUUUCGUCGUGCUAGGCUGUAAUCUUGCCAGUCAUGUGAGUUGUGGAGCCCAGCCAGAGUGUUAUGCUGCCAAAUCAAGACUUCCGCCGCCAUUUAAAUAGACUUCCGCUGCCAUGUAAAUAGCCUUAGGGCUAUGCCAGAAGAUUAUAUUCAUCACUGAUUUAAUCAUAUACACAUGUAUUUGAUGAAUAUUCUUGUACCUAGAAUGUUGUAUCAUGGACCUGUCGUGCGUCAGGUGUUAUCCUGGGCUGACGUGCGGAGGCCCCUGCUCCAUGCGGAUCGGGGUGCCACAGGGCUUGGUAUCAGAGCAGCCAGGCUGGCAUAGAUUAUCCUAGCAUUAGAUCACCGCCACCAUCAACCCGUAAUAACCCUGAGGGAUUUGACCCAUCCCUGGCAUCCGGCAUGGCCACUGUUAAUCAACAGGUGGCGCAGUCGGGACCGACACGUCCUCACCCCGCUGUCCCCGCCUAGUUAUCCGUGAAACGUGCAGUGAUCCUAUCCUUUCUGGUCGGCAGCACCGCUUUCCCUUCGCCAUUAAGGGAAAGGGGCCACACCAUGCGGACCUGUCCCACGUAGCUGCCUAUAAAUGCCCUUUCCGCUAGCCGUAUCGCUCGCUUCUCAGUCCGCCAUGUCCCUGCAGAGAAGCUUAGCUAGUAGCACCCCAGUCAUGGCUAGCAGCUCCAAAACUCCCACAUAUUACACCCGCACCUAUGCCGUCUGUCGGAUUUCGGGUUCCGGCAGACCCUUGAGGUUCGAACACUGGGGUGCGCACGGAGAUUUCGCCCUCUACCUACCUGCUCCUCGCCGCCUCGCUAGGAUCUAAACUACGAAAGGAACAACACAAGAGACACAAGGUUUAUACUGGUUCAGGCCACCAUUGCGGUGUAAUACCCUACUCUAGUGUGUGGUGUGGUGGAUUGCCUCUUGGGCUGAUGAUGGUGAACAAUACAAGGAAGAACAGCCUCGCGAGGCUCUGUUCUUGGCUGGUGCGAUGAACUACUAGGGGGAGUUCAGUCGCUCUAUCUAUUGGUUUCCUGGUGAGGAUCCCGUUCUGAUUCUAGCUCCUGGAUUCUAGAUCUCUCUACCCUGGGGGUGGCUAGUCAUAUUUAUAGGCAAAGGCCCUGGGCCUCUUCCCAAAUAUUGAGCGGGAAGGGCGCCAACAAUUGGCAAUUUUGAAGGGGAACAUCUGGUACACUUAUCCUGACUAAAGUUGGUCUUCGCCUGUCAAAGGCUCUGGUGGUGACGCCUGCUUGGGCUCCACAAUGACUUCUUCCCGGCCGUUGGGCGGGUCUUGGUCUUGUUGCACCGAAAUGGAUGCCUUUGCUUGAUGCUCUCGCCUGCACUUGCUCCCUUUGCACCAAAGAGGAAAGGAGGACACUGCGUGGGCUGGCACUCGCCUGGCGCCCUUGGUCGUCAUGGCUUGAGUCAUGGGCACCUCGUGAGAUACCCCGCCUUGAUCUCUCCGCCUCCUCAUGAGCCAGCCUGAUGAGGCCGUGCCUGAGGAAGCUCCUUGUCGUCCGCCCCGCGAGGCUUGGCCCCUCGCGAGGGUCUUGAGCUUGUGUUGAUGAAGAUGGGCCGUGUUGGGCCCCCUUUGAGCCACGCCGCAGGCCGCAAGCAGGCAAGUCUGGGGACCCCCGUUCCUAGAACGCUGAUAGUAGCCCCCGGGCCCAAGGCGCGCCCGGACUUGGCCGAGCAGAGAGGCGAAAGGGCAAGUGCGAAGCGCCGCGGGCCCUAAUAGCCUGCAGCCUUGGGUGCCGCAUGGCGGUUGAUUGGACGUGGGCGUCUCCACUCCUCCAUGAUGCCUCGACAACUGCACGAAUUGACAAGUCUCUGCAUGCAAAGCGGGUCAUUAUUACCUUCGAUUGUGGAGGUCGGCGGUUGGCCUCCUCUGGCUUUAAGUACGUCACGGCAUGUGCCCUUCCAGUCUAUCUCUUCUUGCUUCUCCUUCUUCCCGGUCCUUGCUCCGUCUUGCUGCAAUGGCUCCUAUCCGCCGGUUCUCUGCGGCAGAGAAGGGAAAGGCUCCCCCGAGAGGAUCCUGACCUGCUUCCGCCGAAGAAAUGGCUAGCCCUCUGCCAUCGGGGUGAGGGCGCCCGCUAGGAAGUGUCGAGGCCCUGGUGCGAGCGGCCACCACCAGGGUUCCCGCUUCCCUUGUACGCCCACAUCGAGGGCUCUGAAGGAGUCGAUGCCGAAUGCCACGGGCGGCGCCGCCGUCGGCGCCGGCGGGUCACGAAGGUGUGCGUCUUUUCCCCUGGAGUCCACGCCGAGGGCUCCUCUCGAGAGUUCGUGCUUCACGCCGCCAUGCCUCCUCAAUCUUGGAUUUGCCUUCCUCCUUUCUUCGCCUCCGUCAUCCCGUAGGGGGAACUCCUGGGGCUCUGGCUGCAGCAUGCCGGCUGCAGCACCCUUGCGACCGGGGCAGAGGUCGCGGUUGUUGCCCCGGGCGAGGUCUUCAUGACUCGAGGCUGGGGCGAGAUUGCCCGGGUCUGCAGGACAAGGGGCACCCUCGCGAUCCACCUGGAGUAUGACGGUGCUUCGGUGAUGUUCUUCAAGGUCUUUGAUGCGGAGGGUCGCCGGCUGGAGUGCUGCCCCGGGAGAGGUGGUCGGGACCCCACUACGGCGAGGCCGAGGCCAGCUAACCGCUCCCUUGGCAGCUCCUCAGGCGGUGGAGGCACCGGAGGAUCCAGCGACUCCGCCGAGCUCUUCGCGACUCCGGAGACGAGCGACGACAGCUACGAGCCCCCGAGCCUGCGCCGCUCCCGGAGCAGGGCGGGCUCAUCAGGCCGUCGCCGCCUCUGAUCUAGAUGGGGUUGGCGCCGGUACCGGACGGCCCACUGUUGAUGAUGGCGUCUUUUGCAGGGGCGCGUGUAGUUAGAGUCCUUUAGGAUCUGUUCCCUGCGAGGAAUCAAAAACGCGCCCAAUGGGGGCUUGUAAGGUGCCUGCGGGCCUAUCCGUUAAUAUAAUCCUUGCCAUGGAGUAGCGCGAGUUGCUCAUUCCGUCUUAGCUUAGUUCUUCCUUUCGAACCUCGCGAGGGCUUGAUGCUCUGCGCCAACAGGUCCCAGUACCAAGGCGGCUUCAGCCGUCGCUGGUAUGCCAGGUCGCAAUGCCGUGGUCAAGGCCAGGAGGUGAGUGGCCCGAGGUCUAGUAAGAGCCCCUGAGUCGUGAUGCUCAGGAGGUCCACCUUAGCGCUCAAGCAGCCAUCAUUCGGUGAGAAAGGAGAGCGACGUUGCUAACACGGGAUUGCAUUAGGUGCGGGGACGGUGCCAUGGUAGCUGGGGCUUCCGGGUGGUGACUUAUCUCAAGAAUCAGGGACCGCUCCCUGGUGUGUCGCCGGGUCCAUGCAUCGGCAGGCGAGGGGUUGCUUGGCGAGGUCCUCGCGUGCCUCUCCCCUCUCACCUUCGCUCCCCUUUCUGCUCUACGUCCUCGGGCCCCGACCCUCGAGCGAGUCUCAGCCAUCGCUGGUAUGCCAGGUCGCGAUGCCGUGGUCAAGGCCAGAGGGUGAGGGCUGGAGAGCCAGUAGGAGCCCUGAGUCGCGAUGCUCAAGUACCCCCCCCCCCUUUAACGUGCAAGCGGUUUGCACGGACGAGAAUGAAGAAGACACCGUGAGGGCCUCGCCUCACGCUGCUCCUUGAAGAGAUCCUGCAGGCUCAUCACAGAAAGAACGAGAGUUCGCCAUGACAAUCGACAGUCAGCCGUUGGUUGCUCUAGAGAGGUGGUGAGGCACUGAGGGCUCGACGAGGUGGCGCUAUGCGGGGCUGCCGCGGCCAGAGCUCAGCCAUUCAGGUUUGUCGGCGUUGCAGGGACGGACCCAUGCGCAAGCAUCGUGCCAUUUGGGAGCAGCUCCAUCAGUUGGUGUCAGUUCAGCGGGCAACUAGGUCAAGCAUGUUAAUCGCGGAGGAGUGAAUUCAUUCAAAUAGAUGCUAGGAAGGCGGACAUCGCUGGGUCUGGCCUGAGCGACUUGGGGAUGAUGCAGCCCGAGGGGCGCCCCCAACAAAGUAGGCUAGGAACAUGAAAUAAAAGGGAUACACGCCGCAGGGACGGACCCACGCGGCCUAGGAAUAAUGCAGCCCUGGGGGGCGCUCCCAGCUGGAAAUAAAACUUGAAAGAUGUCACCUGAUGAUGUUGGAGACGAAGGGGUGUUGGUGUAGCAGACUCGGUGGGCUGCGGGAGCCGAUCCUCACGAGCCCCCAGGCCCUGGGGCCUCGGGAGGCUCCGGAGGCGCUGGUGGCUCCUCGCGGACCAUCUCCAUCUCCGCCAAGGCUGCGGAACGCCUGGCCUCUUGAGCCUCCAGGAUGUCCCUCAUGAGGCGCUGAUACGCGGCAGCCGCGUUCGGCAAGCCAUAAGGCAUGCGAACGUAGCUGUGGGGUGGACCUUCGCAGCGCCCCACUUGCGAGGGCCAGAGGCGCUCCUGAGAGGCGGCUCGGUUGAGCCCUCGUAUGUUGAUGCAGACGCGCAGCCCACCACCCUCGCCUGGAUGAGGAGCCACAGCGGGUAAGCGGCGGCUGCCUCUCAUGACUCUUGACUCCUGCAGCUCCUGAAUGGCCUUAUUGACGAACUCCUGAGGGUUUCGCUCUCCUUGCCUUGCUCCUUCUUGAGGGAAACGUGCUUCGAAACACGCCUCCAAGUGGUGCCCAAGCGCCUCCCUCGUGACCUUGGCGAGGUCGGCGGCCCUCCAGGGGAGAGCCCCCGAGCCCUGCCUGAGGAGGGCACCGGGCGUGCUUCCCUAUGCGAUGGAAGGAGGUUCCCCCUGGGCAGGCGCGGGCCUUGAGGGGCCUGUCUCCAGAGGGGUCGGGCCGGACGAUGUCUUCUUCUUGGGGGCGGUCUCAGGAAGCCUCCUGCUUCCGUGAUCCGGGUCUUCCAGUGAUGCAGCCUGAAAGGCUCGUUCCAGGGAGCACACCGUGUCUUUCUCUUCGCAUGGCACCAUGAUGACUCCGCCACUUCCUGGCAUCUUGAGGACGUUGUAGCCGUGGUGGGUUACGGCCAUGAACUUGGACAGCGCUGGGUACCCGAGGAUGGCGUUGUAUGGCAGGCGAAUGUGGGCGACGUCGAAGUCGAUGAGCUCGGUGCGGUAGUUGUCGUGCGCCCCGAAGGUGACAGGGAGGCGAACCUAACCAAUCGGGAUCGUGGAGCCAUCGGUGACUCCGGAGAAAGGCUUGGUUGGCUGAAGCUGAUUGUAGGGCACUUGGAGAUUGUUGAAUGUUUCCACGGACAGGACGUUGAGCCCUGCCCCGCCAUCGAUGAGGGUCCUGGUGACUAGCACGUUGCUGAUGAUUGGGGAGCAAAGCAUUGGGAGGACCCCGGCUGUGGCCGCGCACUUGAGCUGAUCCGCUGAGCUGAAUGUGAUGGUGCACGCCGACCACCUGAGGGGGCGCGUGGCCUCGAGCUUGGGGAGGACUGCAUUUACCUCGCGGGCGAACUGCUUGAAGAUGCACUGAGAGGGCUUGAGCUCCACCCAGGAUGCAGGCGAUCGCGCGUGGCUCCUGGAAGCCCCCAGCCCCCUCGUCCUGAUGACGGUCCUCAUUCCUCCUUGGCUGCGGCGGCAGCGGAGGGAGGCCUGCGUUGCCUUGCAGGCGAUCCUCGCGAGGCUGAUCCCUCCAGUCUCCCUCGCGAGGCUGGUCCUGCCAGUGAUCCUCGCGAGGUUGGUCGCACCACCCUUGGCGAGGGCCGCAGUCUUCCCAGCGUCCUGUGUUCCUUCCUCCUCCUCGACCGUAGCCCCGGUCGCUGCGGUCGGGACGUCGGCCGAUCCUUCCUUCACGCAUGGCUCGGAGCUCUUGGCAUUCAUUGGUGUUGUGGGUGUGGAGGUCGUGGUAUACGCAGUACCGAUUGCCCUUGGAAGAUUCGGGCUGAUCUCUGCCCCGCUUGGUGUCUGGUUCUGCUGCGAGCACGGCAGCCCCCUUGCACUUCACAUCCUUGGCCUUGGGUUUCUUCUCUUCUGGGUCUGCGGCAGGCAGCUCGAGGAGGGAGAGACGCCCUUCCUCAGCCCUGGCGGACUUGGUCGCCAAGUUGAACAGCUCCAAGGAAGUGCACAGGUCUUCAUGCAUCGCCAGCUCCUCCUUCAUCUUGACGUCACGCACGCCGUCAGAGAAGGCUGAGAUGAUGGCCUCCUCGGUCACCUUGGGAAUCUUGAGGCGUGUGUUGUUGAAGCGCUGGAUGUACUUCUGCAGGGUUUCCCCUGGUUGCUGCUUGAUACGGCGCAUGUCGCUCACGGCGGGUGGCCGGUCACGAGUACCCUGGAAGUUGGCGAUGAAGCGGGUGCGCAUCUCGUCCCAGGAGGAGAUCGUGCCUGGAGCCAGGUUCGGGCCCCGUCCUUGAGCGCCAUGGGAAACCAGUUCGCCAUGACUUUCUCGUCUCCGUUGGCAGCUUUGAUGCCCAGCUCGUAGAGCUGGAGGAACUAUGCGGGGUCAGCCAUACCGUCGUAGCGAGGAGGCAGGUCUCGCUUGAACUUGCCGGGCCACGCGACGCUGCGCAGCUCGGGGAUGAAGGCACGGCAGCCUGCUGUGGCCACAGGAGGCCUUGGGUGACGAAGAGCUUGGUCUUGCGGGUCCCUAUGCGCUGCAGCUGGGAGCAGUGCGGGGUCUUGACGUGCUGGGGCAGGAGCGUGGUCGCGACGAGCCGGAGCAGGGAGCGCUUGGGCAGCUUCUCGCGGGCGAGGGACUUCUUGGCAGCUCAGCUCCUGCCGCGGUGGCGCCUGACAGAGCGGGUUCCGCCCAGGGGCCACACGCCUUGGGGCCAGGGCGCCUUCUUGAGGAGGAGGCGGCUGGGGUGCCCCCGGAGCUUCGUCGCCCGUCCAGGGCGGGGUGCGGUGCAGCGGGACGGACAGCACAGGAGAGCCCCCUGCGGCACUGACGAGCUCGGCGACACGGUCGAGCCAUUCUUCGUAGACGUCGUCGACGGGACGGUAGCACAGGAGCUCGUUUGCCACGAUGAGCGCAGCUCCAGCCUCCAUGGGCGCGCGGAAUGCACGAGACGAAGAACCAGCUGGGGUGAGCGAGGGGGUGGCAGUGCGGCCGUCUUGCCUCACGGAGGGAUGCUGGGAAGAUGCUUGCUGCUCGUUCCCCGCCGGGCCGGUGGCGGCGUUGACGGCAAGUGACGAGGAACGACGAGGGCACCCGCCGACGGGAGCCGUCUGGGUGACACAGGAAGCGAGUGUCGUGGUUCUAAGCCUGACAGUAGAGUGGGGGGUAGGUAUGGAGAGGCAAGGUCCUAGCUAUGGAGAGGUUGUAAGCACAAAGGAUGUACGAGUUCAGGCCCUUCUCGGAAGAAGUAACAGCCCUACGUCUCGGAGCCCGGAGGCGGUCGAGUGGAUUAUGAAUGUAUGGAUUACAAGGUGCCGACCCCUCUGCCUGUGGAGGGGGGUGGCUUAUAUAGAGUGCGCCAGGACCCCAGCCAGCCCACGUAGGAGAGGGUUUAAGGUGAGUUAAGUCUGGGGCGUUACUGGUAACGCCCCGCAUAAAGUGCCUUUACUAUCAUAAAGUCUACUUAAUUACAGACCGUUGCGGUGCAGAGUGCUUCUUGACCUCCUGGUGGUCGAGUGAGUCUUCGUGGUCGAGUCCUUCAGGCCAGUCGAGUGUGUCCUCGUUGGUCGAGUGAGUUCUCGUUGGUCGACUAGAAGGCGACCUCUUCUAGGGAUGUCCUAGGGUAAGUUACUUGGGACAGGUCCGUGACCCUACCCUAGGUACAUAACCCCAUCAUUAGCCCCCGAAUGGAUUGAGGCUUCGAGUGAAGAAGGAGUUGAUGUCGUUUCCGAUUAACCUUUGCGCUCUAGUUGUGCGCUGUUCUGGAUCAAAGAAUCUCUUCGUUGACAGGGAGCAAUCUGUCUUCGGUCGACUCGAUCCGUUCUAUUUUUGCGUCGAGUGACCUUUCGAGCUUCGUCGAUCUCUGAGCGACGGAUCGCCGGAAUCACCGCGUCUGACAGGCUGAUUUGUUGCUCGCGGAUUCUGCGGGGUGCGAAAUUUGGGGGCGCGCGCGAAGCGGGGCAGACCGCGGCGUUCGGAUGGGACGGGGCGUAGACGCCUCGAUCUCCACGCCGCCUUUUUCGCCACGUAUCCAGUCCUCAUAACUGCUCACAGAUAUGAUUAGAUCGAUCGGGCCCACAUGUCAGCCACUCGGAAGGGACCUUAUAAAUGUGCCCGGCGAGGAUUUCUGUGCUGCGCCUCGGCAUUCUCCCUCUCUCCCUCUGCUUCCUUCCUCCCUGCUCAGCGUGCUCGCCCUCGCCCCCGCACCACUUCCCUUCGUGCAUCUCACCGGCGACCAUGGCCAAGGAGAAGACGGCGGCGCUGGAGCGUGCCAAGAAGGCGUCGGCAUCGGAGAAGGCGAAGGGGAGAUCCACCAGCCGCAGAGGGUCCUCGUCCAGAUCCCGCCUGCCGAAAGGCUGGGUCCAAGGAGACUGGAUCCAGUCGACCAUCACGGAGAAGGACCUCCUCGACAUGGCCAACGAGGGCUUGAUCCCUCACGGAGCUGCGAGGUUGCCGGGGAAGGAGUGGCAGCCACAACCAGAAGAGGGUGAGUGUGUGCUUCUGGCCACUCAUGUUGACCGCGGGUUUUCCUUGCCGCCAAGCAUUUUCUUCCGUGGCUUCUUGAAUUUCUUUGGAGCGCAGCUCCACCACUUUACCCCAAACUUGAUUGCCUAUCUUGCUGCAUUCGUGUCCAUGUGUGAGGGUUUCUUGGGCUGUCGACCGCACUGGGGUUUGUUCAAACGUAUCUUCACGUGUCGCUCUCAGACCGUGAAGAAGGCGAGCCCAGGUGAUGAGAAGACCCGAGUCGUCCAAAUGUGUGGGGGCCUAGGGAUUCAGGUGAGGAAUAAUAGCACCUUCCCGCCCAUGUCCUUUCCCGAGUCCGUCAGAGGCUGGCAGUCGACUUGGUUCUACUGCCAGGUCCAGUCGACGCCAGGGCAGUCGAGUGGACUCCCUCCGUUCACCAUGGACCGAGUGAACAAGCCCUCCCCUCUGAAGCUGAUUCCGGAGGAGAAAGCCGACGUGAAGAUGUUGAUGGAGCGCGUGGUGCAGCUGGUUCGGGAGGGUGUGACAGGCAUGGACCUCUUGGAGGUUUUCCUCAAGCGUCGCAUCCAGCCUCUCCAGUUCCGGAGCCACUGCAUGUGGUUGUACUGUGGGCCCGAAGACGAGACUAGAGUCCAUCCAGAAGAAGUCGACGACGCCACUCUGGAAAGGUGGAUGGUAGCCGUUACUGGGAACAGGGACAACCCGCGCGGAGCCAGAAGGAUUCCUCCACUCGACCACGACAGCGUCCCAAACAAGGUACACUUGCUCUGCUUUCCAUUGUGUCCUUGUUGUAUUCAUUUCUGCUAACCCUGCCGACUGGUCGACUGACCCUUGUUUGGGCAUCUGCUAGGCCUUCACCGAGCUGUACUCGAUGCCCAAUGGGGCACAAGCUCCGACUGAAGAAGGCGAGGCGAGCGGGGGCGAGGCGAGCGGGGGCGAGGCGAGCGGGGGCGAGAGCCAGGAAGAGGAGGAAUGGGACUCGGAUGCCGCAGGGGAUGACGAUGAUGAUGAUGAUGAUGAAGGUGACGAAGAUAACAUCGAGGACGAGGAAGAAGAGGAGGAGGAGGUCGUUCCACCGCGCUCAGAAAGGCGGUCGAAGCUUGUCCACGACCCUUCGACAGAACGUGGUAAGGGGGUUGCGACUGCCACUCAGUCGACCAAGCGCCCUCGGACCACCUCUCCGGCGCCGACUGAAAAGGCGCCGAAGCAGCCCAGGGCGGCCUCCUCGAAGCCGACCAAGCUCCUGCCGAAGAUGAAGGUGUCCAUCCCCACCAUAUCAGGGUAAUUGCGUUGCUCAUAUUUUCUUAUUCUUGUGCGAACUUUAUCUCUGGUCGACGCUGAGGUUAGUCGACUGAUCCUUUGGAGUUGCAGUGCUGCUACUUCUGAGACCUCGGCCCAGGCCGAUGACCACGAGAUGGAGGAUGCAGCAACUUCGAAUCCAGGUACUGUGUUCUUAAUACCAUUCUUAGUCGACUGACUCGCUAUCUCUGAUCCUGACCCUUCUCCGCAGCUCCACCCAACACUGUUAUCGAUCUUCCUGACGAUGAUGAGGAUGAAGAGCCGCUGAAGCACAGGAGGAGUCGAAAAGCGUCCGUCAGUAAGGUGCCUCAGGAUGUGUCAGCGCCUGAAAUUCUGACUGUGGAGGAAGAGAACACCACUCGACACACGGUGACCUUCGCGACCCCACUGACGAGUGCUCAGCAGCCCUCCCUCUUCACGACUCACCACGUCCCAGAGGACCAAGCUGGUGCAGCGAAGGAGGCAAUACGCCAGGCGGGACUCAUGAUGGAGCAGCUGAAGACCAUCCGGGAUGCGAGCCAGGCAGCUUAUGACGCCAGCUCUGCCCUCCAAAGCAAUGUCCAGGUCAGUCGACUGCUGUUUGUUCUGUUGGAUAUGCUACCAAAAACUUUUCUUUUCCGGGAUUUAUAUUAGUCACCCACUGGGUGUGUCGAAUAAACUCCGUGUUAGCGGGGGCACGCUGAGUGCACCCGCUGGGUGUAGUCCCCAAGGCUAAGGUCGACUGCUGGCAGUCGGCCUUAGGCUUUAUGAUGUCAAUCUUUUUGUCAGUCGACUGGUCGACUGGAUUUCGCGAACCGGUGGGGGCACGCUGAGUGCACCCACUGGGUGUAGUCCCCAAGGCUAAGGUCGACUGCUGGCAGUCGGCCUUAGGCUUUAUGAUGUCAAUCUUUUUGUCAGUCGACUGGUCGACUGGAUUUCGCAAACCGGUGGGGGCACGCUGAGUGCACCCACUGGGUGUAGUCCCCGAGACUGUGGUCGACUGCUUGCAGUUGAUCACAGUCUUAGAGAAUGCGUCUCGCACACUGUUUUUUUUUUUGAGGUCGACUGGUCGACUUUGUCUUCGACAGGAUUAGUGGGGGUACGCUGAGUGCACCCACUGGGUGUAGUCCCCGAGACUACGGUCGAAUGCUUGUGUUCGGCUGUAGUCUUAGAAACGUGUGUUUUUCCCUUUUCACUCGGAAGUGAAUUAUUUUUGACAUUUAGUCGAUUGGUUCUUCGCAGAACUCUUGUGAUCUUGUGACUCGCUACUCAGAACUAGAACAGAAGCAUACUCAAGUCGAGCUGAGCUUGAAGCUGGUUCAGGAGAAGCUGACAAAGGCAAAGGAGGAGACUGAAGGUAUGUUUGGUGAGACCUUGACGACUGCUUUUCCUCUUGCUUGUUUCAACAUCUGAUCUUGCUGUGUCUUGCAGGUAAGGUAAGGGAGGCCCAGCAGAAGAAAGACCUUGAGCUAGCUGAGAAGAUCAAGCUUGCUGACGAGAAGUUAGCUUCAGUCACCAAGCUCGAGCAAGACAAUGCCAAUCUGAAAACUGCUCUUGGGAUUGCCAACAAGGAGGUCAGUCGACUGAGAACUGACAAAGCUGCCCUGACCGACCAAGUCAGCAAAUUGACUGAGAAGAAAACUGAACUGGAAACCUUCUUGAGUGGCCUUGCCAAGAAGCUGUUUCUUAUGCUUGAAGGUAAAUCUCCAUGUUUGGCUAAUAUUUCCAAUUGUGGCCUUUUCCAUUCGACUAUCUCCUUGACUUAGUGAUCACCCUUGCAGAAUUUUGUCAAAACUUUGAAGAAGAAACCAGCCGACUGGAGCCAAACCUUGACCCCGUCAAUUCUCCGGUGAAUGACGAAGUUGCCAUGGAUGUUUUCCGACUGGAGUCUCGUGUUGCAGCUGUCAUGGACUAUCUCGCAAGGCUGAAGGCCGCCACAUCUCGCAUCGACUCGACGCUCUGGCCUGAGGAGACGCUUCAGAAUGACCUUGAGUCGCUGAUGGCCCGCUUGAACACGAUCCCUGGUCGAGUGCAGGAGUGGAAGAAGUCCUCGGCUCGGUGUGGUGCAGAUGUCGCUCUGUGUCUGGCCCGAGUCCACUGCAAAGAUGCACGAGAGGAGAAGCUGGCGGCCCUUCGGGUGGCCAAUACCAAGAAGCACGACUUCAGGUCCUUUAUGGAGACUUUCCUUGCAGCUGCCACUCGGAUCGCCGACGGAAUUGACCUUGAUGAAUUCGUUGCACCUUCCAGCCCUCCACAGGAGGGGUAAAAAACUUCUUCUGGCUCGACACUUUAAAUUUGCCUCGGUAUGCCGAGUGGAAUUGUAACCGACAAACCUUAACAGGCUUGACGCCUGAGCACUUUCGGUUCCUUUAGAUAUCGAUUCAAACUUGAAUUUGGCGCUUGAAUAUGAUUGCCUUCGGCUCAAAAUGUCUUUUGCAGGUUCAAAGCAAGGUGCCUGUGCUUUAGGCGAGCGCUUGGACUGCAGCUAAGCCUCCGAGUGAGAGGAUCGCUCUUCACUCGGUAGGAUUUUCACAACUUAGGCGAGUGCUUGGACUGCAGCUAAGCCCCCGAGUGAAAGGCUGGCUUACCACUCGGUAGGAUUUUGAUAACUUAGGCGAGCGCGAGGCUGCAGCUAAGCCCCCGAGUGAGAGUAUUGCUCUUCACUCGGUAGGAUUUUGAUAAACUUAGGCGAGCACGAAGCUGCAGCUAAGCCCCCGAGUGAGAGGAUUGCUCUUCACUCGGUAGGAUUUUUAUAACUUAGGCGAGUGCUUGGACUGCAGCUAAGCCCCCGAGUGGAAGGCUGNNNNNNNNNNUGACCUUGAGUCGCUGAUGGCCCGCUUGAACGCGAUCCCUGGUCGAGUGCAGGAGUGGAAGAAGUCCUCGGCUCGGUGUGGUGCAGAUGUCGCUCUGUGUCUGGCCCGAGUCCACUGCAAAGAUGCACGAGAAGAGAAGCUGGCGGCCCUUCGGGUGGCCAAUACCAAGAAGCACGACUUCAGGUCCUUUAUGGAGACUUUCCUUGCAGCUGCCACUCGGAUCGCCGACGGAAUUGACCUUGAUGAAUUCGUUGCACCUUCCAGCCCUCCACAGGAGGGGUAAAAAACUUCUUCUGGCUCGACACUUUAAAUUUGCCUCGGUAUGCCGAGUGGAAUUGUAACCGACAAACCUUAACAGGCUUGACGCCUGAGCACUUUCGGUUCCUUUAGAUAUCGAUUCAAACUUGAAUUUGGCGCUUGAAUAUGAUUGCCUUCGGCUCAAAAUGUCUUUUGCAGGUUCAAAGCAAGGUGCCUGUGCUUAGGCGAGCACUUGGACUGCAGCUAAGCCUCCGAGUGAGAGGGUCGCUCUUCACUCGGUAGGAUUUUUGUAACUUAGGCGAGCGCAGGACUGCAGCUAAGCCCCCGAGUGAGAGGGUUGCUCUUCACUCGGUAAGAUUUUUAUAACUUAGGCGAGCACGAGGCUGCAGCUAAGCCUCCAAGUGGAAGGCUGGCUUACCACUCGGUAGGAUUUUGAUAAGCUUAGGCGAGCACGAAGCUGCAGCUAAGCCCCCGAGUGAGAGGAUUGCUCUUCACUCGGUAGGAUUUUUAUAACUUAGGCGAGUGCUUGGACUGCAGCUAAGCCCCCGAGUGGAAGGCUGGCUUACCACUCGGUAGGAUUUUGAUAACUUAGGCGAGCACGAGNNNNNNNNNNUUUUGAUAACUUAGGCGAGCACGAAGCUGCAGCUAAGCCCCCGAGUGAGAGGACUGCUCUUCACUCGGUAGGAUUUUUAUAACUUAGGCGAGCACGAAGCUGCAGCUAAGCCCCCGAGUGAGAGGAUUGCACUUCACUCGGUAGGAUUUUUAUAACUUAGGCGAGCACGAAGCUGCAGCUAAGCCCCCGAGUGAGAGGAUUGCUCUUCACUCGGUAGGAUUUUUAUAACUUAGGCGAGUGCUUGGACUGCAGCUAAGCCCCCGAGUGGAAGGCUGGCUUACCACUCGGUAGGAUUUUUAUAACUUAGGCGAGUGCUUGGACUGCAGCUAAGCCCCCGAGUGGAAGGCUGGCUUACCACUCGGUAGGAUUUUUAUAACUUAGGCGAGUGCUUGGACUGCAGCUAAGCCCCCGAGUGGAAGGCUGGCUUACCACUCGGUAGGAUUUUGAUAACUUAGGCGAAACGGAUUCGCAGCUAAGCCUCCGAGUGGGAGUCUGGCUCACCACUCGGUAGGAUUUUUACAAACUUAGGCGAAACGGAUUCGCGGCUAAGUCAACCACUGAGGGGGAGUUUUUGUGGGCAAAAAUAAAAAGUGAUGACACAAUUAUUUCUAAACCCAUGAACUACAGAAGUAUUUUAUUGCAACUCAUCCGAGUGAUAAAACUUAAGUGUAAAAUGGGCGGAGUAGCUCCGCGUUCCAAGCUCGGGGCUCGUCGAUAUUAUGCUCGACGUUGUAAAGACGGUAUGCCCCGUUGUGGAGAACCUUGGUGACGAUGAAGGGGCCUUCCCAAGAAGGAGCAAGCUUGUGUGGUUUGUGCUGAUCCACUCGGAGAACCAAAUCCCCUUCCUGGAAGGCUCGACCUCUCACAUUUCGGGCAUGGAAACGGCGCAGAUCUUGUUGGUAGAUGGUCGACCGGAUCAGAGCCAUCUCCCUUUCUUCCUCUAAAAGGUCGACUGCGUCCUACCGCGCUUGUUCAGCUUCUGCUUCAUUGUAGAUUUCGACUCGAGGAGCAUUGUGGAGAAGAUCACUCGGUAAGACUGCUUCGGCUCCAUACACCAAGAAGAAUGGAGUUCUUCCGGUCGACCGAUUGGGCGUGGUCCGCAGUCCCCAGAGUACAGAUGGAAGUUCGUCGACCCAAGCUCCAGCUGCGUGUUUGAGAUCACGCAUCAGUCGCGGCUUCAGUCCCUUGAGAAUCAGUCCAUUAGCUCGCUCUGCUUGUCCAUUCGACUGCGGAUGGGCGACUGAUGCGUAGUCGACCCGUGUGCCCUAGGAGUUGCAGAAGGUUCUGAAUUCCUCUGAGUCAAAGUUUGACCCAUUAUCCGUAAUGAUGCUGUGCGGGACUCCAUAUCUGAAUAUUAGUUCCCUGAUGAAGCUAACAGCAGUACCGGUGUCGAGGCUCUUGAUUGGUUUAGCUUCGAUCCACUUGGUGAACUUGUCGAUUGCCACCAGUACAUGCGUGAAGCCACUUCGUCCUGUCCUCAAAGGACCGAUCAUGUCCAGCCCCCAAACUGCAAAAGGCCAGACGAGUGGGAUGGUCUUCAAAGCUGACGCAGGCUUGUGCGACAUAUUCGAGUAGAACUGACAUCCCUCGCACUUAUCCACUAUCUCCUUUGCCAUCUCAUUCGCCUUGGGCCAGUAAAAUCCGGCUCGGUAUGCUUUGGCCACGAUGGUCCGGGAGGACGCAUGAUGACCACAGGUCCCCGAGUGAAUAUCAUUGAGGAUGAGUCGACCUUCUUCUGGUGUUAUGCACUUCUGACCGACUCCAGUCGUGCUCUCUCUGUAUAAUUGUCCUUUGAUGACGGUAAAGGCCUUAGAUCGACGGACGAUCUGUCGAGCCUCUUCCUCAUCCUCCGGAAGCUCUUUCCUCAAGAUAUAUGCGACAUACGGAAUCGUCCAGUCAGGAAUGACUACCAAAACCUCCAUGAUCAAGUCGACCACCGCUGGGACUUCAACUUCAGUCGGAUCUGUGGCACUCUUGGGCUGCGGAGUUUCUUCGGUGAAAGGAUCUUCUUUGACUGAUGGAGUAUGUAUAUGCUCCAAGAACACACCACUCGGAAUGGUUUCUCUCUUGGAACCUAUCUUUGCUAGAUCAUCAGCUGCUUGAUUCUUCAGUCGGGGUAUAUGAUGGAGUUCCAACCCCUCGAACUUUUUCUCCAGCUUCCUCACUGCACUGCAGUAUCCAGUCAUGGCUGGGCUUCUCACGUCCCACUCUUUCAUCACCUGAUUGACCACUAAAUCCGAGUCGCCAUAGACCAUUAGGCGACGGACGCCGAGUGAAAUGGCCAUGCGCAACCCAUAUAGGAGGGCCUCAUAUUCUGCCUCAUUGUUGGAGGAAUCAAAGUGAAUCUGGAGUACAUAUCUGAGCUUAUCUCCUCUGGGGGAAACCAGGACAACCCCAGCACCGGAACCAUUCAACAUCUUAGAACCAUCGAAAAACAUGGUCCAAUGCUCCGAGUGAACUUCAGUCGGCUGCUGCUGUUCGAUCCACUCGGCGAGGAAAUCUGCUAUUGCCUGGGACUUAAUGGCUUUCUUUGCCUCAAACUUGAUAUCAAGGGGAAUAAGUUCAAUCGCCCAUUUGGCCACUCGACCAGUUGCAUCUCUGUUGUGCAAAAUCUCUGAUAGUGGAGCGUCGCUGACGACUGUGAUUGAAUGGUCAGAGAAAUAAUGAGCAACCUUCUUUGUGGUCAUGUAUAUUCCAUAUACAAGCUUCUGAUAAUGAGGAUAUCUCUGUUUGGAUGGAGUCAAGACUUCAGACAAAUAAUACACUGGGCGCUGAACUUUGAGAGCUUUUCCUUCUUCUUCCCGCUCGACCGUUAGCACAGUACUGACGACUUGUCCUGUGGCUGCGAUGUAGAGCAACAGAGGCUCUUUGCUGAUUGGAGCAGCAAGCACCGGCUGGGUGGAGAGCAGAGCUUUUAGCUCGGCAAACGCUGCAUCAGCUUCUGGAGUCCACUCGAACUUGUCAGCCUUCUUCAUCAGUCGGUAAAGAGGCAAUGCCUUUUCACCGAGUCGUGAGAUGAAUCGACUUAAUGCGGCCAAGCAUCCAGUAAGCUUCUGGACAUCGUGCACUCGCACAGGGCGUUUCAUUCGGAGAAUAGUGCCAAUCUUUUCUGGGUUGGCAUCGAUUCCCCGUUCCGAAACGAGAAAACCGAGUAACUUGCCACCAGGAACUCCAAAUGUGCACUUUGAUGGAUUGAGCUUGAUAUCAUACCUUCUGAGGUUGGCAAAUGUUUCGGCGAGGUCAGCGAGCAGGUCGGAACCUUUUCGUGACUUGACAACAAUAUCAUCCAUAUAAGCUUCCACAUUCCGACUGAUUUGAGUGAGUAGACACUUCUGAAUCAUUCGCAUAAAUGUGGCUCCGGCAUUCUUGAGGCCGAAUGGCAUGGUGAUAUAGCAGAAGCACCCGAAUGGAGUGAUGAAAGCUGUUUUUACUUCAUCGGGUCCAUACAGACGGAUCUGGUGGUACCCGGAGUAAGCAUCUAAAAAAGACAACCUCUCGCAACCCGCGGUCGAGUCAACAAUUUGAUCUAUGCGAGGAAGAGGAAAGUGAUCUUUCGGGCAGGCCCGGUUGAUGUGCUUGAAAUCAAUGCACAUUCGGAGCGACUUGUCCUUCUUAGGAACCAUGACGACAUUAGCGAGCCACUCGGAGUGGAAUAUCUCUCGGAUAAAUCCUGCCGCCAACAGUCGAGCCACUUCUUCACCAAUGGCCUUUCUCUUCUGGACGGCGGACCGCCGAAGAUGUUCUUUGACUGGCUUUGCAGACUUGUCGACUCUUAGGCGAUGCUCAGCCAGUCCCCUGGGAACACCUGGCAUGUCAGCGGGCUUCCAUGCAAAAAUGUCCCAGUUCUCACGGAGGAACUGGAUGAGCGCUUCUUCCUAUUUUGGGUCGAGUGUUGUGGAGAUGCGGGUCGGAGCUGCUUCGGGGUCGGUCGGGUGAAUGUGAACAGGCUUCGUCUCACCGGACGACUGGAAUGCAGAUUCUGUGGCGGGCUUCUUGGACCAUAGCAAGUCACUCGGAUCUGCGUUUUGCUUGUAUUCUUCGAACUCGACCGCUGUCACUUGGGAAUCGGCAAUUUUGGAGCCCUUCUGAAAGCACUCCUCUGCCUUUUUCCUAUCUCCGGUGACAGUGAUCACACCUUUGGGACCGGGCAUCUUCAAUUUGAGGUACACGUAACAUGGUCGAGCCAUGAACCGUGCAUAGGCUGGCCUCCCCAAAAUGGCAUGAUAUGCGCUUUGAAAAUCCACGACCUCAAACGUCAACUUUUCUUUGCGAAAAUGCUUUGAAUCGCCAAACACUACGUCCAAAGUUAUUUGGCCGAGUGACUCGGCCUUCUUCCCUGGUAUAACUCCAUGGAAGCUCAUGUUACUAGUGCUCAGUCGGGACAUCGGAAUGCCCAUACCUUUCAACGUGUCUGCAUAUAACAGAUUCAGGCCACUUACACCGUCCAUCAGCACCUUUGUCAGUCGAGUGCCUUCGACAACUGGAUCGACCACCAAAGCUUGCCUCCCAGGGGUGGCAAUAUGAGUCGGGUGAUCAGAUUGGUCGAAUGUGAUGGGUGUCUGAGACCACUUCAGAUAAUUUGCCUUUGCUGGGGCAACCAUGUUAACCUCUCGGUUAAUCACUUUCAGUCGACUUCUGCUUUCCACAUCUGCGAAGAUCAUCAGAGUGGAGUUGAUAUGCGGAUAUCCUCCCUCACUGUCCUCUUUGUCUUCGGCUUUGUCCGACUCCUUCUCCUUGUCCUUAGACUGUUUUCCCUGAAACUGCUGGAUCAGGAGUCGACAUUGGCCAGUGGUGUGUUUUGGGUAAAUGAUAUUCCCCUCUUCAUCUUUCUUUGUGUGAAUAUGACACGGCAUAUCCAUCACGUCGUUCCCUUCUUUAUCCUUCACCUUCUUGGGGUUCCAGGAUCCUUUUGGUUUCCCCUUAAACUUUCCUUGAGUCACGGCCAGAGCCUCUCCAGGAGCUGCCGGUUCAGCCUUCCGCUUCUGUUUCCGACUGGUGUUUCCUUUUUCCGACUGACUCGGCUUGUGCUUGCCGCUUCGGAGUCGGUCUUCUUCUUCGCCGUUGGCGUACUUGGUAGCAAUCUCCAUCAUCCGACUCAAGGUCAUGUCACCGGUUCGACCAAAUUUCAAACUCAGUUCUCUGUUCUUGACGCCAUCUUUGAAGGCGCAUACUGCCUGAUGGUCAGAGACAUUUUCCACAGUGUGGUGCAAAGUGAUCCACCUCUGAAUAUACUCUCUGAGAGUCUCAUUGGUUUUCUGCACGCAGACUUGCAACUCUGUCAACCCCGCUGGUCGCUUGCAAGUCCCUUCGAACGUUCUGACGAACACUCGGGACAGAUCUUCCCAUGUGUAAAUGCUGCUAGGAGGCAAUUGAGUCAACCAUGCCCUGGCAGAACCUUCCAACAUGAGGGGCAAAUGCUUCAUGGCCACCUUGUCGUUCCCACCACCGAUCUGAACUGCCACUCGGUAGUCUUCAAGCCAAGUUUCAGGCUUAGACUCACCAGUGAACUUGCUGACUCCUGUUGCCAACCUGAAAUUGGGGGGGAUAACAGCGGCUCUGAUAGCUCUGCUGAAACAUUCAGGACCAGAAACAUGUACUCGACUGCUCGUGGGCACAUCUCUGUCGAGUGCACCUCGAUGGGCUCUGUUCCGGUCGACCAAUCCUUGCACGAUAAUGGAUCGCGCGUCGAAGCCUGGCUCUCUGGGGUCAACUGGAACCCUACGCCCUGUACUGUAUUGACGCCUAUCAUCUGGCUGCCGAGGAGCGUAAGACCCACCCCUCGGAGGGGAAUAGGGCACUCGACGCCUAUCGUCUCGGUCGAGUCUGUCGCCAUAUUGAUCUCGUCGAUUCUCACGCCCUUCGCGCCGCGGAGGCGAUCUGGGGCUGUGAGCCGACUGAACCGUAUUCACAGUGACAGAUCGACUGAGAAUUCUGUUGCGCGACUGAGACACGGCUGAAUUCUGAUCUCCCGCUGCCCGGAGCAGAUCCCUGAUCUGCAGCAAACCUCUGCCAGCUUCUGACUGCGAAGGCUGAAUGGACUCUGCUAUACGGGUCGCAGCUGCUAAAUUCUGAAUUGGGGUUCGAUAUACCUGAGUCGGCGGGAAGAGUUGACGUCGACUGGUGUCGGGAACUCGUUGCCGCGCGCGCUCGUCGAGUGCUCGCUGAAGGUUCUCCAGUCGAGUGCGCUCGGCCAAAUUGGCCAGACGCGCCUCCUCCAAGGCACGAGCCUCGGGGGUUUCUCCGGCCAUGGGAAUACGCAGGGGAUCCUCGUUCCUGCGGCGAAGCUCUUCUCUUUGCAGAGAGUCGAGUGGCUCGGGCUGGUACUCUUCGUAGCCUCGAGCAGGGUCGCCGCCGUCACCUGCUCCACCACCGCGGGCGAAGCCAGGAGGGCUAUGGGGCCCGUCGACCAUCAAGAUUUCCGCCGCUGGAUCACUGCUUCCGCACUCGGAUGCAGUCUCUCCGGAGCCAGUCGACUGAUCGUACAAGCCGUAGAGAGAUUCAUUGGGCUCGAUUGCCGCAACUUGUGUAGUGGCCGACUGGCGAGCCACCGCGUGGCUCACCCAUCGCUGAAGCCUCGACCGGCCUGAGCGCUUGCGCUGGCGGGAGACCGGGAGGGUGAAAGAUGGAAGAUCCGACCGAUACUGGGUCGAUGGUUGCCGCAGCAGAACGCCGCGGACACAUGCGCGAAAAUGCGUCGCACCGCGGACGGGGAGCGCAUCUACGUCGAGUGGAGCCUCAUGGAGCCAUGCGGAGUCGUCGGCGAUGAAGGUGAGAGCGCCGAGACGGAUCUCUUGACCCUCGACCAAAACUCCAGCAGACACCAUGAUGAAAAUACUCGGAAGAAUCGCAACUUCUCCACAAAAUCGCUAAAACACCUGCCCCACGGUGGGCGCCAACUGUCGUGGUUCUAAGCCUGACAGUAGAGUGGGGGUAGGUAUGGAGAGGCAAGGUCCUAGCUAUGGAGAGGUUGUAAGCACAAAGGAUGUACGAGUUCAGGCCCUUCUCGGAAGAAGUAACAGCCCUACGUCUCGGAGCCCGGAGGCGGUCGAGUGGAUUAUGAAUGUAUGGAUUACAAGGUGCCGACCCCUCUGCCUGUGGAGGGGGGUGGCUUAUAUAGAGUGCGCCAGGACCCCAGCCAGCCCACGUAGGAGAGGGUUUAAGGUGAGUUAAGUCUGGGGCGUUACUGGUAACGCCCCGCAUAAAGUGCCUUUACUAUCAUAAAGUCUACUUAAUUACAGACCCUUGCGGUGCAGAGUGCUUCUUGACCUCCUGGUGGUCGAGUGAGUCUUCGUGGUCGAGUCCUUCAGGCCAGUCGAGUGUGUCCUCGUUGGUCGAGUGAGUUCUCGUUGGUCGACUAGAAGGCGACCUCUUCUAGGGAUGUCCUAGGGUAAGUUACUUGGGACAGGUCCGUGACCCUACCCUAGGUACAUAACCCCAUCAGCGAGGGCGGCUCGGUGCUCGGUGCGGGCCCGACGAGCGCCAGACAUGGAUGCGAUGGUCGGAGAAGAACAGGGUGACGGAAGACUAAUUCCGGCACACCCCUACCUGGUGCGCCAAAUGUCAGAUUUCGGGUUCCGGCAGACCCUUGAGGUUCGAACACUAGGGUGCACGCGGAGAUUUCGCCCUCUACCUACCUGCUCCUCGCGGACUCGCUAGGAUCUAAACUACGAAAGGAACAACACAAGAGACACAAGGUUUAUACUGGUUCAGGCCACCAUUGCGGUGUAAUACCCUACUCCAGUGUGUGGUGUGGUGGAUUGCCUCUUGGGCUGAUGAUGGUGAACAAUACAAGGAAGAACAGCCUCGCGAGGGUCUGUUCUUGGCUGGUGCGAUGAACUACUAGGGGGAGUUCAGUCGCUCUCUCUAUUGGUUUCCUGGUGAGGAUCUCGUUCUGAUUCUAGCUCCUGGAUUCUAGAUCUCUCUACCCUGGGGGUGGCUAGUCCUAUUUAUAGGCAAAGGCCCUAGGCCUCUUGCCAAAUAUUGAGCGGGAAGGGUGCCAACAAUUGUCCAUUUUGAAGGGGGACAUCUGGUACACUUAUCCUAACUAAAGUUGGUCUUCGCCUAUCAAAGGCUCUGGUGGUGACGCCUGCUUGGGCUCCACAAUGACUUCCUCCCUGCCGUUGGGCGGGUCUUGGUCUUGUUGCACCGAAAUGGAUGCCUUUGCUUGAUGCUCUCGCCUGCGCUUGCUCCCUUUGCACCAAAGAGGAAAGGAGGACACUGCGUGGGCUGGCACCCGCCUGGCGCCCUUGGUCGUCAUGGCUUGCAUCAUGGGCACCUCGUGAGGUACCCCGCCUUGAUCUCUCUGCCUCCUCGUGAGCCAGCCUGAUGAGGCCGUGCCUGAGGAAGCUCCUUGUCGUCUGCCCCGCGAGGCUUGGCCCCUCGCGAGGGUCUUGAGCUUGUGUUGAUGAAGAUGGGCCGUGCUAGGCCCCCUUUGAGCCACGCCGCAGGCCGCAGGCAGGCAAGUCUGGGGACCCCCGUUCCCAGAACUCCGACACCGUCAACCACCCUGGCUUUCCACCCCUUCUUGCCGAGAUGGAUACCAAAGCAUUUGGCGGCAAGACUAGCCCCGAUUACCUGGUGUUCCAAUCGACACUCGUCCCUCACCUUCAUCUCUUGGUUGCAAGAAUGCACAUCAGCCUAGGCCCUGCAGCAGAUGUUCAGCCUUUGGUUUUACAGGGUAGAGCCAUGCCUACCCCUGGUUUAGCCAUUCAAGCCGCUACUGUAGAGGCUAUCCUACACCUCCUAACCAACUACCCGCAUGUAGCAACAAGGCGGGAAUUCUGCUUUUUCCCCACUGUGUCCAACACAGUAAUGCAACUUUCUUCCAUUAGCCAAGGAGAUGAUCCUGCAAUCGCUCGCCUGGUGCAAUACAUCACUGCCCAGGGGAUGUUGAUUUCAAUGCUGCUUGCCGAGUUUAAAGCCAUGGACAAUAAUGUGGUACGAGUCGUCAAGGAAGCUUACCGUGAGGCUCGUAAGUUCGCAUCUCAAACUGUUGGCCCAAUGCCAUCCGAACCAAUGUUAUCCUCUCAACCUGUGAUGUGGUCCAAGCCAAACAUCAUCACCCUCGACAAGUCUCUUCUCCGGAUCCCUAGGUGGUUUUGGUAAUUCAUAACAACAUAUAACUCAUUGAGCUCAUGCUAUUCCAAGACUAUUAUUUUAGGAAAGCUCAAUGAAUGGCAUGGCAUGGAUGAUGAAAAGUGGAUCCCUCAAAAUACUAAUGACAAAGGAUUGGCUCAAGCUCAAAAGCUCAAGACUCUUCAUUUUAUAUUUUAGUGAUCCAAGAUCACAUUGAGUCCAUAGGAAAAGCCAAUACUAUCAAGGAGGGAUGAGGUGUUGCUUAAUGAGCCUCUUGCUUCAUGUGCUUAGUGAUAUGCUCCAAAAACCCUCAACUACUUUCUCACAUCCACAAAUGACCUAAACCUAAAGCCAAAAUUGGUCACACUGAUUCUUUCUAUCCGGCGCCACCGAGUUCUAAUGUCAUAGCCACUGCCACAAACCCUAGGCAAAUCGGUUUCACCGAUAGGGAUCUCGGUCUCACCGAGAUGGGACUGUAAUCUCUUUGUUUCCCUUCGUAACGUUUCGGUCUAACCGAAGUGAGCGAUCGGUCCCCCCGAGAUUGCAAUGUAAACUCUCUGUUUCCCUUUUGUAACAUUUCGGUCUCACCGAAAAGAGCAAAUCGGUCCCACCGAGUUUACCUGACCAACUCUCUGGAAAGCUUAUUACCAAAAUCGGUCUCACCGAGUUUGUGUGAUCGGUCUUACCGAGAUUAUGUUAUGCCCUAACCCUAACCAAAUCGGUCCUACCGAGUUGCAUGUCAGUCCCACCGAAAAUCCUAAUGGUCACUAGGUUUACUAAAUCGGUCUGACUGAGUCUGAUGAAUCAGUCCCACCGAGUUUGGUAAAUUGUAUGUAACGGUUAGUUUUUGUGUGGAGGCUAUAUAUACCCCUCCACCUCCUCUUCAUUCGUGGAGAGAGCCAUCAGAACAAACCUACACUUCCAACUUACCAUUUCUGAGAGAGAACCACCUACUCAUGUGUUGAGACCAAGAUAUUCCAUUCCUACCAUAUGAAUCUUGAUCUCUAGCCUUCCCCAAGUUGCUUUCCACUCAAAUCUUCUUUCCACCAGAUCCAAAUCCUAUGAGAGAGAGUUGAGUGUUGGGAAGACUAUCAUUUGAAGCACAAGAGCAAGGAGUUCAUCAUCAACGCAACAUUUGUUACUUCUUGGAGAGUGGUGUCUCCUAGAUUGGCUAGGUGUCACUUGGGAGCCUCCGACAAGAUUGUGGAGUUGAACCAAGGAGUUUGUAAGGGCAAGGAGAUCGCCUACUUCGUGAAGAUCUACCGCUAGUGAGGCAAGUCCUUCGUGGGCGACGGCCAUGGUGGGAUAGACAAGGUUGCUUCUUCGUGGACCCUUCAUGGGUGGAGCCCUCCGUGGACUCGCGCAACCGUUACCCUUCGUGGGUUGAAGUCUCCAUCAACGUGGAUGUACAAUAGCACCACCUAUCGGAACCACGCCAAAAACAUCCGUGUCUCCAAUUGCGUUUGAAUCCUCCAAACCCUUCCCUUUACUUUCUUGCAAGUUGCAUGCUUUAAUUUCUGAUGCCUAUAUACUCUUUGCAUGCUUGCUUGAUUUGUGUGAUGAUUGCUUGACUUGUCCUAAGAUAGCUAAAAUCUGCCAAACUCUAAAAUUGGGAAAAGGUUAAGUUUUUAAUUGGUCAAGUAGUCUAAUCACCCCCCUCUAGACAUACUUCAAGGUCCUACAAGUGGUAUCAGAGCUUUGGUCUCCAUUUGCUUUGAUUUCCAUAGCUUUUGGUGGUCAUAGCCUUGGUUUCACAACCUAGGAGAGUAUGGCGUCUAGUGAGGGAAAUUAUCACCGUAGAGGUCCUUACUUUGAUGGUACUAAUUUUGCUAGUUGGAAGCAUAAGAUGAAAAUGCAUAUUCUCGGACAUAACCCCGCCGUUUGGGCAAUUAUUUGUAUUGGCUUGCAAGGUGAAUUCUUUGAUGGGAGAGAGCCGAACCGUGAAGCAAAUGCGGAAGAAUUGAAGAUGCUGCAAUACAACGCUCAAGCUUGUGAUAUCAUCUUCAACGGAUUGUGCCCCGAAGAAUUCAACAAAAUCAGCCGUCUUGAGAAUGCAAAGGAAAUUUGGGAUACUUUGAUUGAUAUGCAUGAAGGUACCGACUCCGUCAAGGAAUCCAAGUUGGAUGUGCUCCAAAGUCAGCUUGACAAAUUCAAAAUGAAGGAUGGUGAAGGUGUCGCUGAAAUGUACUCUAGGCUUGCACUUAUCACAAAUGAGAUUGCCGGCUUAGGGAGUGAAGAGAUGACCGACAGAUUCAUCAUCAAGAAGAUACUAAGAGCAUUGGAUGGGAAGUAUGAUACCGUGUGCACAUUGAUCCAAAUGAUGCCAAACUACAAAGAUCUCAAGCCAACGGAAGUCAUUGGAAGAAUUGUUGCUCAUGAGAUGUCACUCAAGGAUAAGGAGGAACUUCACAAUAAGUCAAGUGGUGCUUACAAAGCCUCAAGUGAAGCCCCCACAUCUUCAAGUGAGAAACAAACCUUCAAUGAAGAAUUGAGCUUAAUGGUGAAGAACUUCAACAGAUUCUACAAGAGUAGAAGCAAAGAAAGAAGCUCCAAGUCAAGGUCUUACAAUGACAAAAGAUCUUCUAGUCGAGAGCACAAUUGCUACAAUUGUGGGAGACCUGAACACUAUUCCAAUGAGUGUAUGGCACCCUACAAAAGAAGAGAAGAUUCUCCAGAAAGAAGAAGCAAAAGAGAAGAAUCACCACCGAGAGAGAGGAGGAGUAGAGAUGAUCGUUAUGAACGAAGACCCUCAUGGAGAAGCAAGGAUUCGGAAAGGAAGCACAAGUCAUCAAGGAGCUACACAAAACGAAGACAUCAAGCUCAUGUUGGUGAAUGGGUAUCCGGCUCCGACUCCGACAAUCACUCCGAGAGAACCUAUCACUCCGACUCCGAAUAUACUCAAGAUGAAGGUGUUGUCGGUCUAGCACUUGUGUCAACCAACUCCUACGACAUAUUUGAUUCACCAAAUGAAGGAAUUGGAAGAUGCUUCAUGGCCAAAGGUCCAAAGGUAACACAUCCUGAGUAUGUUGAUUUUGAUAGUGAUGAAGAUGAUUUGCUUGUGGACGAUGAUUUACUUGUUGACAACUCUAGCGAUGAAUACUAUGAUGAAACGCCAAUCAAUCAUGCUAAUCAAGAUAAAACGAAUGACAAUGAUAAGGAGAAGAUUGAGCUACUAACUAAAGAACUAAACACUCUUAAGUUAGCUCAUGAAACUAUCUUCGAAGAUCAUCGAGAACUUUUAAGGGCUCAUGAGAAGUUACGCUUUGAAAAGCUCAAUCUUGAGCAAGAGCAUGAGUUCUUAAAAGCAAUCAAUGAUGAUCUUCGUAAGAAAAGUUCUUCUUACAUUGCCAAGCGUUUACUCUUAUCUACUUACAUGCCUCAAGUCAAGUCUAAUAACAAGUACAAGAAAGAUCCUUCCUCUAGUAGUAACAAUAACAAUGUCAAAUCCAAUAUUGUUGCUUCUAGUAGUUCUCUUGAUUCCACUAAUGAUUCUCUUAGCCAAGUUACACUUGAGCAAGAAAAUAGCUUAUUGAAGGGAAUUAUAGAGAAAGGUGUUUACAAGAGCCUUGCCGAGAGUAAGCAAUUCGAGGAAAUUGUACGCAAGCAAGGAAGGCACCGGAAGAAUCAAGGUGUUGGUUUUGAACGAAAGUUCAAUGCCAAUGGAGUUGAGUGGGAAGAAGAUCAAUACCCCAAGACGAAGUUUGUUCCUCAACAACAGAAGUAUGAUCCUACUUCCUUCAAGGGAACACAAGCACAAGAUGGUCUUCCUGUUGGGGAACAUUGCAGAAAACAAAAAAUUUCCUACUCGUUUCACCAAGAUCAUCUAGGAGUUCAUCUAGCAACGAGUGAUUAGAUGCAUCUACAUACCUUUGUAGAUCGCGAGCGGAAGCGUUCAAAAGAACGGUGAUGAUGUAGUCGUACUCGACGUGAUCCAAAUCACCGAUGACCAGCGCCGAACGGACGGCACCUCCGCGUUCAACACACGUACGGAACAGCCACGUCUCCUCCUUCUUGAUCCAGCAAGGGAGGGAGGAGAGGUUGAGGGAGAUGGCACCAGCAGCAGCACGACGGCGUGGUGUUGAUGGAGCUGCAGUACUCCGGUAGAGCUUCGCUAAGCACUAUGGAGGUGGAGGAGGUGUUGGAGAGGGAGAAGGAGGCAACCAAAGGCCAAGGCGUUCAGGUAUGAAGUCCCUCCUCUCCCCCACUAUAUAUAGGAGGGCCAAGGGGGGGGUGGCCGGCCCUAGGAGAUCCAAUCUCCUAGGGGGUGCGGCGGCCAAGGGGGGUUUCCCUCCCCCCAAGGCACCUAGGAGGUGCCUUCCCCUCCUAGGACUCUUUCCCCCUCAAACCCUAGGCGCAUGGGCCUAUGUGGGGCUGGUGCCCUUGGCCCAUUAGGCCAAGGCGCACCCCCUACAGCCCAUGUGGCCCCCCCGGGACAGGUGGACCCACCCGGUGGACCCCCGGGACCCUUCCGGUGGUCCCGGUACAAUACCGAUAACCCCGAAACUUGUCCCGAUGCCCGAAACAGGACUUCCCAUAUAUAAAUCUUUACCUCCGGACCAUUCCGGAACUCCUCGUAACGUCCGGGAUCUCAUCCGGGACUCCGAACAACAUUCGGGUUACUGCAUAUACAUAUCCCUACAACCCUAGCGUAACUGAACCUUAAGUGUAUAGACCCUACGGGUUCGGGAGACAAGCAGACAUGACCGAGACGACUCUCCGGUCAAUAACCAACAGCGGGAUCUGGAUACCCAUGUUGGCUCCCACAUGCUCCACGAUGAUCUCAUCGGAUGAACCACGAUGUCGAGGAUUCUAUCAACCCCGUACGCUAUUCCCUUUGUCUAUCGAUAUGUUACUUGCCCGAGAUUCGAUCGUCGGUAUCCCAAUACCUCGUUCAAUCUCGUUACCGGCAAGUCACUUUACUCGUACCGCAAUGCAUGAUCCCGUGACCAGACACUUGGUCACUCUGAGCUCAUUAUGAUGAUGCAUUACCGAGUGGGCCCAGUGAUACCUCUCCGUCAUACGGAGUGACAAAUCCCAGUCUUGAUCCAUGUCACCCAACAGACACUUUCGGAGAUACCCGUAGUCUACCUUUAUAGUCACCCAGUUACGUUGUGACGUUUGGCAUACCCAAAGCACUCCUACGGUAUCCGGGAGUUACACGAUCUCAUGGUCUAAGGAAAAGAUACUUGACAUUGGAAAACUCUAGCAAACGAACUAUACGAUCUUGUGCUAUGUUUAGGAUUGGGUCUUGUCCAUCACAUCAUUCUUCCAAUGAUGUGAUCUCGUUAUCAAUGACAUCCAGUGUCCAUAGUCAGGAAACCAUGACUAUCUGUUGAUCAACGAGCUAGUCAACUAGAGGCUCACUAGGGACAUGUCGGUGUCUGUUAUUCACACAUGUAUUACGAUUUCCGGAUAACACAAUUAUAGCAUGAAUAAAGACAAUUAUCAUGAACAAGGAAAUAUAAUAAUAAUGCUUUUAUUAUUGCCUCUAGGGCAUAUUUCCAACAGUCUCCCACUUGCACUAGAGUCAAUAAUCUAGUUACAUUGUGAUGAAUCGAACACCCAUAGAAUUCUGGUGUUGAUCAUGUUUUGCUCUAGGGAGAGGUUUAGUCAACGGAUCUGCUAUAUUCAGGUCCGUAUGUACUUUACAAAUCUCUAUGUCUCCAUCUUGAACAUUUUCACGAAUGGAGUUGAAGCGACGCUUGAUGUGCCUUGUCUUCUUGUGAAACCUGGGCUCCUUGGCAAGUGCAAUAGCUCCAGUGUUGUCACAGAAGAGCUUGAUCGGCCCCGACGCAUUGGGUAUGACUCCUAGGUCGGUGAUGAACUCCUUCACCCAUAUUGCUUCAUGUGCUGCCUCCGAGGCUGCCAUGUACUCCGCUUCACAUGUAGAUCCCGACACGACGCUUUGCUUGCAACUGCACCAGCUUACUGCCCCACCAUUCAAAAUAUACACGUAUCCGGUUUGUGACUUAGAGUCAUCCAGAUAUGUGUCGAAGCUAGCGUCGACGUAACCCUUUACGACGAGCUCUUCGUCACCUCCAUAAACGAGAAACAUUUCCUUAGUCCUUUUCAGGUACUUCAGGAUAUUCUUGACCGCUGUCCAGUGUUCCUUGCCGGGAUUACUUUGGUACCUUCCUACCAAACUUACGGCAAGGUUUACAUCAGGUCUGGUACACAGCAUGGCAUACAUAAUAGAACCUAUGGCUGAGGCAUAGGGGAUGACGCUCAUCUCUUCUAUAUCUUCUGCCGUGGUCGGACAUUGAGCUGAGCUCAAUUUCAUACCUUGCAACACAGGCAAGAACCCCUUCUUGGAUUGAUCCAUAUUGAACUUCUUCAAUAUCUUAUCAAGGUAUGUGCUUUGUGAAAGACCUAUGAGGCGUCUUGAUCUAUCUCUAUACAUUUUGAUGCCUAAUAUAUAAGCAGCUUCUCCAAGGUCCUUCAUUGAAAAACUUUUAUUCAAGUAGGCCUUGAUGCUGUCCAAGAGUUCUAUAUCAUUUCCCAUCAAAAGUAUGUCAUCUACAUAUAAUAUGAGAAAUGCUACAGAGCUCCCACUCACUUUCUUGUAAACGCAGGCUUCUCCAUAAGUCUGUGUAAACCCAAACGCUUUGAUCAUCUCAUCAAAGCGAAUGUUCCAACUCCGAGAUGCUUGCACCAGCCCAUAAAUCGAGCGUUGGAGCUUGCACACUUUGUCAGCAUUCUUAGGAUCGACAAAACCUUCCGGCUGCAUCAUAUACAAUUCUUCCUUAAGGAAACCAUUAAGGAAUGCCGUUUUGACGUCCAUUUGCCAUAUUUCGUAAUCAUAGAAUGCGGCAAUUGCUAACAUGAUUCGGACGGACUUCAGCUUCGCUACCGGUGAGAAAGUCUCAUCGUAGUCAACCCCUUAAACUUGUCGAUAACCCUUAGCGACAAGCCGAGCUUUAUAGAUGGUCACAUUACCAUCCGCGUCUGUCUUCCUCUUAAAGAUCCAUUUAUUUUCUAUGGCUCGCCGCUCAACGGGCAAGUCAGUCAAAGUCCAUACUCUGUUUUCAUACAUGGAUCCUAUCUCGGAUUUCAUGGCUUCCAGCCAUUUGUCGGAAUCCGGGCCCGCCAUCGCUUCUUCAUAGUUCGAAGGUUCACCAUUGUCUAACAGCAUGAUUUCCAAGACAGGGUUGCCGUACCACUCUGGUGCGGAACGUGUCCUUGUGGACCUUCGAAUUUCAGUAAGAGCUUGAUCAGAAGUAUCUUGAUCAUUAUCAUUAACUUCCUCUCUAGUCGGUGCUGGCACCUCAGGAACAUUUUCUUGAGUUGCGCCAUUUUCCGGUUCAAGAGGCAAUACUUCAUCAAGCUCUACUUUCCUCCCACUUACUUCUUUCGAGAGAAACUCUUUCUCCAGAAAGGACCCAUUCUUGGCAACAAAGAUCUUGCCUUCGGAUCUGAGGUAGAAGGUGUACCCAAUAGUUUCUUUUGGGUAUCCUAUGAAGACGCAUUUUUCCGACUUGGGUUCGAGCUUUUCAGGUUGAAGUUUCUUGACAUAAGCAUCGCAUCCCCAAACUUUUAGAAACGACAGCUUAGGUUUCUUCCCAAACCACAAUUCAUACGGUGUCGUCUCAACGGAUUUCGACGGAGCCCUAUUUAAAGUGAAUGCGGCAGUCUCUAAAGCAUAGCCCCAAAAAGAAAGCGGUAAAUCGGUAAGAGACAUCAUAGAUCGCACCAUAUCUAACAGAGUGCGAUUACGACGUUCGGACACACCAUUACGCUGAGGUGUUCUAGGCGGCGUGAGUUGUGAAACUAUUCCACAUUUUCUUAAGUGUGCCCCAAACUCGUGACUCAAGUAUUCUCCUCCACGAUCUGAUCGUAGAAACUUGAUUUUCCUGUCACGUUGAUUUUCAACCUCACUCUGAAAUUCCUUGAACUUUUCAAAGGUUUCAGACUUGUGUUUCAUUAAGUAGAUAUACCCAUACCUACUUAAAUCAUCAGUGAGAGUGAGAACAUAACGAUAGCCACCGCGAGCCUCAACACUCAUCGGACCGCACACAUCAGUAUGUAUGAUUUCCAAUAAGUCGGUUGCUCGCUCCAUUGUUCCUGAGAACGAAGUCUUGGUCAUUUUACCCAUAAGGCAUGGUUCGCACGUGUCAAAUGAUUCAUAAUCAAGAGACUCUAAAAGUCCAUCAGCAUGGAGCUUCUUCAUGCGUUUGACACCUAUGUGACCAAGGCAGCAGUGCCACAAGUAUGUGGGACUAUCAUUAUCAACCUUACUUCUUUUGGUACUCACAUUAUGAACAUGUGUAGCAUCACGUUCGAGAUUCAUAAAGAAUAAACCAUUCACCAUAGGAGCAUGACCAUAAAACAUAUCUCUCAUAAAAAUGGAACAACCAUUAUUCUCAGAUUUAAAAGAGUAGCCAUCUCGAAUUAAACGAGAUCCCGAUACAAUGUUCAUGCUCAAAGCUGGCACUAAAUAACAAUUAUUAAGGUUUAAAACUAAUCCCGAAGGGAGAUGCAGAGGUAGCGUGCCGACGGCGAUCACAUUGACCUUGGAACCAUUCCCGACGCGCAUCGUCACCUCGUCCUUUGCCAGUUUCCGCUUAUUCCGCAGCCCCUGCUUUGAGUUACAAAUGUGAGCAACUGCACCGGUAUCAAAUACCCAGGAGCCACUACGGGCACUAGUAAGGUACACAUCAAUUACAUGUAUAUCACAUAUACCUUUCGUUUUGCCAGCCUUCUUAUCCGCUAAGUACUUAGGGCAGUUCCGCUUCCAGUGACCGCUUCCCUUGCAAUAAAAGCACUCAGUCUCGAGCUUGGGUCCAUUCUUUGGCUUCUUCCCGGCAGCUUGCUUGCCGGGCGCGGCAACCUCCUUGCCGUCCUUCUUGAAGUUCUUUUUACCCUUGCCUUUCUUGAACUUAGUGGUUUUAUUGACCAUCAACACUUGAUGUUCCUUCCUGACUUCUACCUCUGCUGAUUUCAGCAUAGCAAAUACUUCAGGAAUGGUCUUUUCCAUCCCCUGCAUAUUGAAGUUCAUCACAAAGCUCUUGUAGCUUGGUGGAAGCGACUGGAGGAUUCUGUCAAUGACCGCAUCAUCCGGGAGAUUAACUCCCAGCUGAGUCAAGCGGUUAUGCAACCCAGACAUAAUGAGUAUGUGCUCACUGACAGAACUGUUUUCCUCCAUCUUACAGCUGAAGAAUUUGUCGGAGACUUCAUAUCUCUCGACCCGGGCAUGAGCUUGGAAAACCAUUUUCAGCUCUUCGAACAUCUCAUAUGCUCCAUGUCUCUCAAAACGCUUUUGGAGCCCCGGCUCUAGGCUGUAAAGCAUGCCGCACUGAACGAGGGAGUAGUCAUCGGAACGUGCCUGCCAAGCGUUCAUAACGUCUUGUUCCGCAGGGAGAACGGGUCCGUCACCAAGCGGUGCUUGUAGGACAUAAUCUUUCUUGGCAGCUAUGAGGAUGAUCCUCAGGUUCCGGACCUAGUCCGUAUAGUUGCUGCCAUCGUCUUUCAGCUUAGUUUUCUCUAGGAACGCGUUGAAGUUGAGGACUACGUUGGCCAUUUGAUCUACAAGACAUAUUGCAAAGAUUUUAGACUAAGUUCAUGAUAAUUAAGUUCAACUAAUCAAAUUAUUAGUGAACUCCCACUUAGAUUAGACAUCCCUCUAGUCAUCUAAGUAUUACAUGAUCCGAGUUAAACUAGACCGUGUCCGAUCAUCACGUGAGACGGACUAGUCAACAUCGGUGAACAUCUUCAUGUUGAUCGUAUCUUCUAUACGACUCAUGCUCGACCUUUCGGUCUUCUGUGUUCCGAGGCCAUGUCUGUACAUGCUAGGCUCGUCAAGUCAACCUAAGUGUUUGCAUGUGUAAAUCUGUCUUACACCCGUUGUAUGUGAACGUCUGAAUAAAACACCCGAUCAUCACGUGGUGUUUUGAAACAGCGAACUGUCACAAUGGUGCACAGUUAGGGGGAACACUUCUUGAAUUUAUUGUGAGGGAUCAUCUUAUUUACUACCGUCGUUCUAAGUAAACAAGAUGCAAAACAUGAUAAACAUCACAUGCAAUCAAAUAAUAAACGUGACAUGAUAUGGCCAAUAUCACAUAGCUCCUUUGAUCUCCAUCUUGGGGCUCCAUGAUCAUCUUGUCACCGGCUUGACACCAUGAUCUCCAUCAUCAUGAUCUCCAUCAUCGUGUCUCCAUGAAGUUGCUCGCCAACUAUUACUUCUACUACUAUGGCUAACGCGUUUAGCAAUAAAGUAAAGUAAUUUACAUGGCGUUUCUUGAUGACACGUAGGUCAUAUAAAAGAAUAAAGACAACUCCUAUGGCUCCUGCCGGUUGUCAUACUCAUCGACAUGCAAGUCGUGAUUCCUAUUACAAUAGCAUGAACAUCUCAUACAUCACAUAUAGAUCAUUCAUCAUUCAUCACAACUUUGGCCAUAUCAUAUCACAAACCACUUGCUGCAAAAACAAGUUAGACGUCCUCUAAUUGUUGUUGCAAGUUUUACGUGGCUGAAUUAGGGUUCUAGCAAGAACGUUUUCUUACCUACGUUAAAGCCACAACGUGAUUUGUCAACUUCUAUUUACCCUUCAUAAGGACCCUGUUCAUCGAUUCCGCUCCAACUAAAGUAGGAGAGACAGACACCCGCCAGCCACCUUAUGCAUCUAGUGCAUGUUAGUCGGUGGAACCGGUCUCACGUAAGCGUAUGUGUAAGGUUGGUCCGGGCCGCUUCAUCCCACAAUACCGCUGAAGCAAGAAAGGACUAGUAACGGCAAGAAAGUUGACAAAUCUACGCCCACAACAAAUUGUGUUCUACUCGCGCAAGAAGAACUACGCAUAGACCUAGCUCAUGAUGCCACUGUUGGGGAACGUUGCAGAAAACAAAAAUUUUCCUACUCGUUUCACCAAGAUCAUCUAGGAGUUCAUCUAGCAACGAGUGAUUAGAUGCAUCUACAUACCUUUGUAGACUGCGAGCGGAAGCAUUCAAAAGAACGGUGAUGAUGUAGUCGUACUCGACGUGAUCCAAAUCACCGAUGACCAGCGCCGAACGGACGGCACCUCCGCGUUCAACACACGUACGGAACAGCCACGUCUCCUCCUUCUUGAUCCAGCAAGGGAGGGAGGAGAGGUUGAGGAGAUGGCACCAGCAGCAGCACGACAGCGUGGUGUUGAUGGAGCUGCAGUACUCCAGCAGAGCUUCGCUAAGCACUAUGGAGGUGGAGGAGGUGUUGGAGAGGGAGAAGGAGGCAACCAAAGGCCAAGGCGUUAAGGUAUGAAGUCCCUCCUCUCCCCCACUAUAUAUAGGAGGGCCAAGGGGGGUGGCCGGCCCUAGGAGAUCCAAUCUCCUAGGGGGUGCGGCGGCCAAGGGGGGUUUCCCUCCCCCCAAGGCACCUAGGAGGUGCCUUCCCCUCCUAGGACUCUUUCCCCCUCAAACCCUAGGCGCAUGGGCCUAUGUGGGGCUGGUGCCCUUGGCCCAUUAGGCCAAGGCGCACCCCCUACAGCCCAUGUGGCCCCCCCGGGACAGGUGGACCCACCCGGUGGACCCCCGGGACCCUUCCGGUGGUCCCGGUACAAUACCGAUAACCCCGAAACUUGUCCCGAUGCCCGAAACAGGACUUCCCAUAUAUAAAUCUUUACCUCCAGACCAUUCCGGAACUCCUCGUGACGUCCGGGAUCUCAUCCGGGACUCCGAACAACAUUCGGGUUACUGCAUAUACAUAUCCCUACAACCCUAGCGUAACUGAACCUUAAGUGUGUAGACCCUACGGGUUCGGGAGACAAGCAGACAUGACCGAGACGACUCUCCGAUCAAUAACCAACAGCGGGAUCUGGAUACCCAUGUUGGCUCCCACAUGCUCCACGAUGAUCUCAUCGGAUGAACCACGAUGUCGAGGAUUCUAUCAACCCCGUACGCUAUUCCCUUUGUCUAUCGAUAUGUUACUUGCCCGAGAUUCGAUCGUCGGUAUCCCAAUACCUCGUUCAAUCUCGUUACCGGCAAGUCACUUUACUCGUACCGCAAUGCAUGAUCCCGUGACCAGACACUUGGUCACUCUGAGCUCAUUAUGAUGAUGCAUUACCGAGUGGGCCCAGUGAUACCUCUCCGUCAUACGGAGUGACAAAUCCCAGUCUUGAUCCAUGUCACCCAACAGACACUUUCGGAGAUACCCGUAGUCUACCUUUAUAGUCACCCAGUUACGUUGUGACGUUUGGCAUACCCAAAGCACUCCUACGGUAUCCGGGAGUUACACGAUAUCAUGGUCUAAGGAAAAGAUACUUGACAUUGGAAAACUCUAGCAAACGAACUAUACGAUCUUGUGCUAUGUUUAGGAUUGGGUCUUGUCCAUCACAUCAUUCUCCUAAUGAUGUGAUCUCGUUAUCAAUGACAUCCAGUGUCCAUAGUCAGGAAACCAUGACUAUCUGUUGAUCAACGAGCUAGUCAACUAGAGGCUCACUAGGGACAUGUUGAUGUCUGUUAUUCACACAUGUAUUACGAUUUCCGGAUAACACAAUUAUAGCAUGAAUAAAGACAAUUAUCAUGAACAAGGAAAUAUAAUAAUAAUGCUUUUAUUAUUGCCUCUAGGGCAUAUUUCCAACACUUCCACCACAAGACCACAAGAACAAAGGCAAGGACAAGCUUCAAGAAGAGAUUGAUGCAUUUGAAGAAGCACCUGAGGCCUCGGUCAAGUGGGUUCCGAAGACUACGUCAAGUUCUACUUCAUCAAGUACAACUACAACUCCAAGGAUUCCCAUCAAGAUGAUGUGGAUCCCGAAGAAGAAGAACUAGAGAGUUCUUGAGGGUGACUCCGCCAACAUUCUUCACUCAUAUCAUUAUGGCAAGAACAAGUGCAAUCAACUUCCACAUCUUGCACUAGUUCAAGGAGUCACAAACCCUCAUGUUGGUAAGGCAAGGGACAAGGUAACCUAAUGAUUUCAUGGACAUCAUCUUGUGUGUGCAUCACUCUAUGUCUAUGGAUAUUCUUGUUUGUUCCUUGUGGGACUAACCCAUGUAGGUACGUUGAAAGUGCAACUCACUCCAAAGGAUUGCUCCAAAUGAUCUACAUCAACAUUGAGCAUCCACAUCUUCAACACCUACAUGAAGUCAUCAUCGACAAAACCCAAGGUUAGUUCAUCCCUCUAAAAGGGGAUCUCACAUCUAGGGGGAGCUUAACUCUAAGAAUUGAGUCAAAGCAACUCUAAUGGUGUGAACACAUCAAUGCAUUAUGUAAAAGUGGUAACCCCACUUGAGCUUACACGAUGAGUAUGACCUAUGAUCAAAUGUUUUCAUUUGACUCCUAAGUCAAUAUACUCAUAUAUAGAUGACCUAGUCAUCACCAAUUGUUUGAUAGAUGCUAGAAUUGGUUGUGCAUGUUUUGCCACAUAUUUCAUUUGCCAUCUUAUUGUGUGAGCAUGUUGGUGCAUAUUUUACUCAUUCAAGGACAUCCACUUGUUGUUUUGAUUGAUUGGCUUCUUUUUCUUUUAGCUAAGUGGAUGGACAAGAAUGCCUAAGAACCUUCUCUAGCUAUCUAUGCUUAUCUCGUCUCAAACUCUAUUCAUGCUACAUCACAAAAUUUGAUCAAGUCAGAUUCAAACCACUCUGUGUGAGGAGCACUCGGAGUCCCCGAUUCGUCAUAGACUUAAACUUCCAAAACUUCUUUGUGAUUCUCGGUCUGACCGAUUCCUCCAUUUCGGUCCUACCGAGAUCACUAAGUCGAUCUAGGUUUUCAAUCUCGGUGCAACCGAUUUGAACUUUUCGCUCACACCGAGUUGCUGUAACUUCACACAGUUAUGCAUCUCGGUGCCACCGAGUUGUUCCACUCGGUCACACCAACAGGGUCAGGCUAUAAAUAGUCACGGGCAAAAUUUUGGAAAUUUCUCCGAACCUCUUCGCCUGCGCAGUAGCUCGCUCUGCCAUCAGGGUCUCCGGAUCGUCCCCUCGUCGCCAGCCGCCUCCAGUCGCUGGUCUCCGCCGCCGUCAACGGAUUUCACCCCCGCCGUUGCCGCCGUAGUGAGUUCAUCGCCAAGCUAGGGUAUGGACUCGAUCACUGUGCUAUCCCCGUCCGAUUCCUAGCACAUUGUGUUCUUAUUGAUUCUUGCCAUGAUUGAAACACUCCUAUCCAGUCAAUGCAAUCCUUAGAUUAGAUGAGAUUCGAAAAUUUAGGGUUAGGUUUCCGCUGAAACCAUCUUGGACCCACCGAGUUGAAAAACUCGGUCCCACCGAUUUGGCUAAUGCCAUUGCACUAGUAACUCUCGGUCUGACCGAGAAUCGCUAAUCGGUGAGACCGAUUUUAGGACUUUGUGAAACCCUAGCAGUCUCGGUGCCACCGAACUAUGACUCGGUCCAACCGAGUUCAUCAGUUUAGGUUCCAAAACUGCUUUGGUAUCACCGAGUUUAAAAAUUGGUUGAUCCGAAAUGCUUUCUGUGGAAAACUAAAACUGAAUUUUUGAAUCAUUCUUUUGCAAAAAUCUCUGCAUUUUGUGAUGAUCAUCCACUCUAUCUCAUCUAUAACUCUUCACAGGGUCAACAGUCAGUGAUUUGCAGCAUGUCAGACCAAAGUGACAGCCAGAACAGGGAAGAAGAGCAGAUUCACAUGAGUGAGGGCACUAGUCCCUCUAGCACUUCAAAUGAAGGCAGUAGGAGCACCCCAAGCAACCUGCCUAAAGCUGCCACCAGGACAAGAAAGAAGAGAACCUCAGAUUCUGAGGAUGAGGAUUAUAGAGCAGAAGAGGAUGAGGCUACCUCCAAGAAGGUAGUGCUCAAAAAGGAGUAUGCCUCAGCACAGAACACUAAACCUGGACUCAAUAGGAAGGUUCCUGCCAAGAGGACACCUAUGCUGAAGGUCAGAGGAUCUACUCAAGUGCCAGAAAAGUCUGAACCCAAAGAGGCACCUGCAAAGAGAGCCACAACUUCCAAACCUAAGAAAGUUCCCAUUGGAGAGACUAUGAAAUUUGGCAAAUGGAUGUUAAAACUGCAUUCUUGAAUGGAUUUCUGGAAGAAGAUUUGUAUAUGAUGCAACCAGAAGGUUUUGUUGAUCCAAAAGGUGCUAACAAAGUGUGCAAGCUCCAGCGAUCCAUUUAUGGACUGGUGCAAGCAUCUCGGAGUUGGAAUAAACGCUUUGAUAGUGUGAUCAAGGCAUAUGGUUUUAUACAGACUUUUGGAGAAGCCUGUAUUUACAAGAAAGUGAGUGGGAGCUCUGUAGCAUUUCUGAUAUUAUAUGUAGAUGACAUAUUAUUAAUUGGAAAUGAUAUAGAAUUUCUGGAUAGCAUAAAGGGAUACUUGAAUAAAAGAUUUUCAAUGAAAGACCUCGGUGAAGCUGCUUACAUAUUGGGCAUCAAGAUCUAUAGAGAUAGAUCAAGACGCCUAAUAGGACUUUCACAAAGCACAUACCUUGAUAAAAUUUUGAAAAAGUUCAAAAUGGAUCAGGCAAAGAAAGGGUUCUUGCCCGUGCUUCAAGGUGUGAAGUUGAGUCAAACUCAAUGCCCGACCACAGCAGAAGAUAGAGAGAAAAUGAAAGAUGUUCCCUAUGCUUCAGCCAUAGGCUCUAUCAUGUAUGCAAUGUUGUGUACCAGACCUGACGUAUGCUUAGCAAUAAGCUUGGCAGGAAGUUACCAGAGUAAUCCAGGAGUGGAUCACUGGACAGCGGUCAAGAACAUCCUGAAAUACCUGAAAAGGACUAAGGAUAUGUUUCUCGUAUAUGGAGGUGACAAAGAGCUAGUCGUAAAUGGUUACGUCGAUGCAAGCUUUGACACUGAUCCGGACGAUUCUAAAUCGCAAACCGGAUACGUGUUUUUAUUAAACGGUGGAGCUGUAAGUUGGUGCAGUUCUAAACAAAGCGUCGUGGCGGGAUCAACAUGUGAAACGAAGUACAUAGCUGCUUCUGAAGCAGCAAAUGAAGGAGUCUGGAUGAAGGAGUUCAUUUCUGAUCUAGGUGUCAUACCUAGUGCAUCGGGACCAAUGAAGAUCUUCUGUGACAAUACUGGUGCAAUUUGCUUGGCAAAGGAAUCCAGAUUUCACAAGAGGACCAAGCACGUCAAGAGACGCUUCAAUUCCAUUCGGGACCAAGUCCAAGUGGGAGACAUAGAGAUUUGCAAGAUACAUAUAGAUCUGAAUGUUGCAUACCCGUUGACUAAGCCUCUCUCACGAGCAAAACAUGAUCAGCACCAAGACUCCAUGGGUGUUAGAAUCAUUACUAUGUAAUCUAGAUUAUUGACUCUAGUGCAAGUGGGAGACUGAAGGAAAUACGCCCUAGAGGCAAUAAUAAAUUUAUUAUUUAUUUCCUCAUAUCAUGAUAAAUGUUUAUUAUUCAUGCUAGAGUUGUAUUAACCGGAAACAUGAUACAUGUGUGAAUACAUAGACAAACAUAUAGUCACUAGUAUGCCUCUACUUGACUAGCUCAUUAAUCAAAGAUGGUUAUGUUUCCUAACCAUAAACAUGUGUUGUCAUUUGAUUAAUGGGAUCACAUCAUUAGGAGAAUGAUGUGAUUGACAUGACACAUUCCGUUAGCCUAGCACUUGAUCGUUUAGUAUAUUGCUAUUGCUUUCUUCAUGACUUAUACAUGUUCCUGUAACUAUGAGAAUUAUGCAACUCCCGUUUACCGGAGGAACACUUUGGGUACUACCAAACAUCACAACGUAACUGGGUGAUUAUAAAGGAGUACUACAGGUGUCUCCGAAGGUACAUGUUGAUUUGGCGUAUUUCGAGAUUAGGUUUUGUCACUCCGAUUGUCGGAGAGGUAUCUCUGGGCCCUCUCGGUAAUGCACAUCACUAUAAGCCUUGCAAGCAAUGUGACCAAUGAGUUGGUUACGGGAUGAUGCAUUACGUAACGAGUAAACAGACUUGCCGGUAACAAGAUUGAACUAGGUAUUGGAUACCAACGAUCGAAUCUCGGGCAAGUAACAUACCGAUGACAAAGGGAACAACAUAUGUUGUUAUGAAGUUUGACCGAUAAAGAUCUUCAUAGAAUAUGUAGGAACCAAUAUGGGCAUCCAGGUUCCGGUAUUGGUUAUUGACCAAGAAUAGUUCUAGGUCAUGUCUACAUAGUUCUCGAACCCGUAGGGUCCGCACGCUUAACGUUACGAUGACAGUUUUAUUAUGAGUUUAUAAGUUUUGAUGUACCAAAGUUUGUUCGGAGUCCCGGAUGUGAUCACGGACAUGACGAGGAGUCUCGAAAUGGUCGAGACAUAAAGAUUGAUAUAUUGGACGACUAUAUUCGGACACCGGAAGUGUUCCGGGUGAUUUCGGAGAAAACCGGAGUGCCGGAGGGGUUACCGGAAACCCCCCAGGAGAGUAAUGGGCCUUAUGGGCCUUAGUGGGGAAGAGAGAGGGGCGGCCAGGGUGGGCCGCGCGCCCCCUCUCCCUCUGGUCCGAAUUGGACUAGGAGGGGGAACGGCGCCCCCCUCUUUCCUUCCCCCCUCUUCCCCUUCCUUCCUCCUCCUAGUAGGAGUAGGAAAGGAGGAGUCCUACUCCUACUAGGAGGAGGAUUCCUCCUCCUUGGCGCGCCCCCCUUGGGCCGGCCGGCCUCCCCCCUUGCUCCUUUAUAUAACGGGGCAGGGGGCACCCCAUAGACACACAAGUUGAUCUACGGAUCGUUCCUUAGCCGUGUGCGGUGCCCCCCUCCACCAUAUUCCACCUCGGUCAUAUCGUCGCGGAGUUUAGGCGAAGCCCUGCGCCGGUAGAACAGCAUCAUCAUCACCACGCCGUCUUGCUGACGGAACUCAUCCCCGAAGCUUUGCUGGAUCGGAGCCCGGGGAUCGUCAUCGAGCUGAACGUGUGCUAAACUCGGAGGUGCCGUACGUUCGGUGCUUGGAUCGGUCGGAUCGUGAAGACGUACGACUACAUCAACCGCGUUGUGCUAACACUUCCGCUUACGGUCUACGAGGGUACGUGGAUAACACUCUCCCUCUCGUUGAUAUGCCAUCACCAUGAUCUUGCAUGUGCAUAGGAAUUUUUUUGAAAUUACUAAGUUCCCCAACAGUGGCAUCCGAGCCUAGGUUUUAUGCGUUGAUGUUAUAUGCACGAGUAAAACACAAGUGAGUUGUGGGCAAUACAAGUCAUACUGCUUACCAGCAUGUCAUACUUUGGUUCGGCGGUAUUGUGAGAUGAAGCGGCCCGGACCGACAUUACGCGUACGCUUACACGAGACUGGUUUCACCGUUACGAGCAUUCGUGCUUAAAGGUGGCUGGCGGGUGUCUGUCUCUCUCACUUUAGCUGAAUCGAGUGUUGCUACGCCCGGUCCUUGCGAAGGUUAAAACAGCACUAACUUGACGAACUAUCGUUGUGGUUUUGAUGCGUUGGUAAGAACGGUUCUUGCUAAAGCCCGUAGCAGCCACGUAAAAUUUGCAACAACAAAGUAGAGGACGUCUAACUUGUUUUUGCAGGGCAUAUUGUGAUGUGAUAUGGUCAAGACGUGAUGCUAUAUUUUAUUGUAUGAGAUGAUCAUGUUUUGUAACCGAAGUUAUCGGCAACUGGCAGGAGCCAUAUGGUUGUCGCUUUAUUGUAUGAAAUGCAAACGCCCCGUAAUUGCUUUACUUUAUCACUAAGCGGUAGCGAUAGUCAUAGAAGCAAUAGAUGGUGUAACGACAACGAUGCUACAAUGGAGAUCAAGGUGUCGCGCCGGUGACGAUGGUGAUCACGACGGUGCUUCGAAGAUGGAGAUCACAAGCACAAGAUGAUGAUGGCCAUAUCAUAUCACUUAUAUUGAUUGCAUGUGAUGUUUAUCCUUUAUGCAUCUUAUCUUGCUUUGAUUGACGGUAGCAUUUUAAGAUGAUCUCUCACUAAUAAUAAAGAAGUGUUCUCCCUGAGUAUGCACCGUUGCGAAAGUUCUUCGUGCUGAGACACCAUGUGAUGAUCGGGUGUGAUAGGCUCUACGUUCGAAUACAACGGGUGCAAAACAGUUGCACACACGGAAUACUCAGGUCAUACUUGACGAGCCUAGCAUAUACAGAUAUGGCCUCGGAACACGGAGAUCAAAAGGUCGAACAUGAAUCAUAUAGUAGAUAUGAUCAACAUAGUGAUGUUCACCAUUGAAACUACUCCAUCUCACGUGAUGAUCGGACAUGGUUUAGUUGAUUUGGAUCAUGUGAUCACUUAGAUAACUAGAGAGAUGUCUGUCUAAGUGGGAGUUCUUAAGUAAUAUGAUUAAUUGAACUUAAACUUAUCAUGAACUUAGUACCUGAUAGUAUUUUGCUUGUCUAUGUUUGUUUGUAGAUAGAUGGCUCGUGUUGUUGUUCCGUUGAAUUUUAAUGCGUUCCUUGAGAAAGCAAAGUUGAAAGAUGAUGGUAGCAAUUACAUGGACUGGGUCCGUAACCUGAGGAUUAUCCUCAUUGCUGCACAGAAAAGUUACGUCCUGGAAGCACCGCUGGGUGCCAGGCCUGCUGCUGAUGCAACUGACGACGUUAAGAAUGUCUGGCAGAGCAAAGCUGAUGACUACUCGAUAGUUUAGUGUGCCAUGCUUUACGGCUUAGAACCGGGUCUUCAACGACGUUUUGAACGUCAUGGAGCAUAUGAGAUGUUCCAGGAGUUGAAGUUAAUAUUUCAAGCAAAUGCCCGAGUCUCCAGUAAGUUCUAUAGCUGCAAGAUGGAGAGAAUAGUUCUGUCAGUGAACACAUACUCAAAAUGUAUGGGUAUAAUAAUAACUCGAUUCAACUGGGAGUUAAUCUUCCUGAUGAUAGUGUCAUUGACAGAAUUCUUCAAUCACUGCCACCAAGCUACAAGAGCUUCGUGAUGAACUAUAAUAUGCAAGGGAUGAACAAGACUAUUCCCGAGCUCUUCGCAAUGCUAAAAGCUGCGGAGGUAGAAAUCAAGAAGGAGCAUCAAGUGUUGAUGGUUAACAAGACCACCAGUUUCAAGAAAAAGGCAAAAGGAAGAAGAAGGGGAACUUCAAAAAGAACGGCAAGCAAGUUGCUGCUCAAGAGAAGAAACCCAAGUCUGGACCUAAGCCUGAAACUGAGUGCUUCUACUGCAAGCAGACUGGACACUGGAAGCGGAACUGCCCCAAGUAUUUGGCGGAUAAGAAGGAUGGCAAAGUGAACAAAGGUAUAUGUGAUAUAUAUGUUAUUGAUGUGUACCUUACUAAUGCUCACAGUAGCACCUGGGUAUUUGAUACUGGUUCUGUUGCUAAUAUUUGCAACUCGAAACAGGGACUACGGACUAAGCGAAGAUUGGCUAAGGACGAGGUGACGAUGCGUGUGGGAAAUGGUUCCAAAGUCGAUGUGAUCGCGGUCGGCACGCUACCUCUACAUCUACCAUCGGGAUUAGUUUUAGACCUAAAUAAUUGUUAUUUGGUGCCAGCGUUGAGCAUGAACAUUAUAUCUGGAUCUUGUUUGAUGCAAGACGGUUAUUCAUUUAAAUCAGAGAAUAAUGGUUGUUCUAUUUAUAUGAGUAAUAUCUUUUAUGGUCAUGCACCCUUGAAGAGUGGUCUAUUUUUAUUGAAUCUCGAUAGUAGUGAUACACAUAUUCAUAGUGUUGAAACCAAAAGAUGCAGAGUUGAUAACGAUAGUGCAACUAAUUUGUGGCACUGCUGUUUAGGUCAUAUUGGUGUAAAACGCAUGAAGAAACUCCAUACUGAUGGGCUUUUGGAAUCACUUGAUUAUGAAUCACUUGGUACUUGCGAACCGUGCCUUAUGGGCAAGAUGGCCAAAACGCCGUUCUCCGGAACUAUGGAGCGGGCAACUGAUUUGUUGGAAAUCAUACAUACUGAUGUUUGUGGUCCAAUGAAUGUUGAGGCUCACGGCGGGUAUCGUUAUUUUCUCACCUUCACAGAUCACUUGAGCAGAUAUGGGUAUAUCUACUUGAUGAAACACAAGUCUGAAACAUUUGAAAAGUUCAAAGAAUUUCAUAGUGAAGUGGAAAAUCAUUGUAACAAGAAAAUAAAGUUUCUACGAUCUGAUCAUGGAGGAGAAUAUUUGAGUUACGAGUUUGGUCUACACUUGAAACAAUGCGGAAUAGUUUCGCAACUCACGCCACCCGGAACACCACAAUGAAAUGGUGUGUCCGAACGUCGUAAUCGUACUCUACUAGAUAUGGUGCGAUCUAUGAUGUCUCUUACUGAUUUAUCGCUAUCGUUUUGGGGUUAUGCUUUAGAGAUGGCCGCAUUCACGUUAAAUAGGGCACCAUCAAAAUCCGUUAAGACGACGCCUUAUGAACUGUGGUUUGGCAAGAAACCAAAGUUGUCGUUUCUUAAAGUUUGGGGCUGCAAUGCUUAUGUGAAGAAACUUCAACCAGAUAAGCUCGAACCCAAAUCGGAGAAAUGUGUCUUCAUAGGAUACCCAAAAGAGACUAUUGGGUACACCUUCUAUCACAGAUCUAAGGGCAAGAUUUUCGUUGCUAAAAUCGGAUCCUUUCUAGAGAAGGAGUUUCUCUCGAAAGAAGUGAGUGGGAGGAAAGUAGAACUUGAUGAGAUAACUGUAUCUACUCCCUUAUUGGAAAGUAGUUCAUCACAAGAACCGGUUCGUGUGACAACUACACCAAUUAGUGAGGAAGCUAAUGAUAUUGAUCAUGAAACUUCAGAUCAAGUUUCUACUGAACCUCGUAGGUCUACCAGAGUAAGAUCCGCACCAGAGUGGUACGGUAAUCCUAUUAUGGAAGUCAUGUUACUUGACCAUGAUGAACCUACGAACUAUGAGGAAGCGAUGAUGAGCCCAGAUUCCGCAAAAUGGCUAGAGGCCAUGAAAUCUGAGAUGGGAUCCAUGUAUGAAAACAAAGUAUGGACUUUGGUUGACUUGCCCGAUGAUCGGCAAGCCAUUGAGAAUAAAUGGAUCUUUAAGAAGAAGACUGACGCUGAUGGUAAUGUAACUAUCUAUAAAGCUCGACUUGUUGCAAAAGGUUUUCGACAAGUUCAAGGGGUUGACUACGAUGAGACUUUCUCACCCGUAGCGAUGCUUAAGUCUGUCCGAAUCAUGUUAGCUAUUGUUGCCUUUCAUGAUUAUGAAAUUUGGCAAAUGGAUGUUAAAACUGCAUUCUUGAAUGGAUUUCUAGAAGAAGAGUUGUAUAUGAUGCAACCAGAAGGUUUUGUUGAUCCAAAAGGUGCUAAUAAAGUGUGCAAGCUCCAGCGAUCCAUUUAUGGACUGGUGCAAGCAUCUCGGAGUUGGAAUAAACGCUUUGAUAGUGUGAUCAAGGCAUAUGGUUUUAUACAGACUUUUGGAGAAGCCUGUAUUUACAAGAAAGUGAGUGGGAGCUCUGUAGCAUUUCUGAUAUUAUAUGUAGAUGACAUAUUAUUAAUUGGAAAUGAUAUAGAAUUUCUGGAUAGCAUAAAGGGAUACUUGAAUAAAAGUUCUUCAAUGAAAGACCUCGGUGAAGCUGCUUACAUAUUGGGCAUCAAGAUCUAUAGAGAUAGAUCAAGACGCUUAAUAGGACUUUCACAAAGCACAUACCUUGAUAAAAUUUUGAAAAAGUUCAAAAUGGAUCAGGCAAAGAAAGGGUUCUUGCCCGUGCUUCAAGGUGUGAAGUUGAGUCAAACUCAAUGCCCGACCACAGCAGAAGAUAGAGAGAAAAUGAAAGAUGUUCCCUAUGCUUCAGCCAUAGGCUCUAUCAUGUAUGCAAUGCUGUGUACCAGACCUGACGUAUGCUUAGCAAUAAGCUUGGCAGGAAGGUACCAAAGUAAUCCAGGAGUGGAUCACUGGACAGCGGUCAAGAACAUCCUGAAAUACCUGAAAAGGACUAAGGAUAUGUUUCUCGUAUAUGGAGGUGACAAAGAGCUAAUCGUAAAUGGUUACGUCGAUGCAAGCUUUGACACUGAUCCGGUCGAUUCUAAAUCGCAAACCGGAUACGUGUUUUUAUUAAACGGUGGAGCUGUAAGUUGGUGCAGUUCUAAACAAAGCGUCAUGGCGGGAUCUACAUGUGAAGCGGAGUACAUAGCUGCUUCUGAAGCAGCAAAUGAAGGAGUCUGGAUGAAGGAGUUCAUUUCCGAUCUAGGUGUCAUACCUAGUGCAUCGGGACCAAUGAAGAUCUUCUGUGACAAUACUGGUGCAAUUGCCUUGGCAAAGGAAUCCAGAUUUCACAAGAGGACCAAGCACGUCAAGAGACGCUUCAUUUCCAUUCGGUACCAAGUCCAAGUGGGAGACAUAGAGAUUUGCAAGAUACAUACGGAUCUGAAUGUUGCAGGCCCGUUGACAAAGCCUCUCUCACGAGCAAAACAUGAUCAGCACCAAGACUCCAUGGGUGUUAGAAUCAUUACUACGUAAUCUAGAUUAUUGACUCUAGUGCAAGUGGGAGACUGAAGGAAAUAUGCCCUAGAGGCAAUAAUAAAGUUAUUAUUUAUUUCCUCAUAUCAUGAUAAAUGUUUAUUAUUCAUGCUAGAAUUGUAUUAACCGGAAACAUGAUACAUGUGUGAAUACAUAGACAAACAUAUAGUCACUAGUAUGCCUCUACUUGACUAGCUCAUUAAUCAAAGAUGGUUAUGUUUCCUAACCAUAGACAUGUGUUGUCAUUUGAUUAAAGGGAUCACAUCAUUAGGAGAAUGAUGUGAUUGAUAUGACCCAUUCCGUUAGCCUAGCACUUGAUCGUUUAGUAUAUUGCUAUUGCUUUCUUCAUGACUUAUACAUGUUCCUGUAACUAUGAGAAUUAUGCAACUCCCGUUUACCGGAGUAUAACGCCCUCGAUGCGGCUAUAUCUCCCACGUGUCGAAGCACGACUUAGAGGCAUAACCGCAUUGAAAGCAAUGUCGCAAGUGAGGUAAUCUUCACACAACCCAUGUAAUACAUAAGGGAAAGAGAUACAUAGUUGGCUUACAAUCGCCACUUCACACAAUUACAUGAAUAAAGCAUUACAUCAUCCAGAUACAAUCAAGGUCCGACUACGGAACCAAAAUAAAAGAAGAACCCCAAAUGCGACAAAGGUCCCCGAUCGACCCCAACUGGGCUCCACUACUGAUCAACUAGAACAAAACAACACAAAGGGCAAGAUCUUCAUCGAGAUCCUCCUUGAGCUUGGUUGUGUCACCUGUUCGGUAACAUAGGCACCUGCAAACUGGUUUUGGAAGUAUCUGUGAGCCACGGGGACUCAGCAAUCUCGCACCCGCGAGAUCAAGACUAUUUAAGCUUAUAGGAAGGAUGGAGUAAUGAGGUGGAGCUGCAGCAAGCGACUAGCAUAUAUGGUGGAUAACAUACGCAAAUGAGAGCGAGAAGAGAAGGCAAAGCACGGUCGAUAAAAGUAUGAUCAAGAAGUGAUCCUAUAGCAACCUACGUCAAGCAUAACUCCAACACCGUGUUCACUUCCCGGACUCCGCCGGAAAGAGACCAUCACGGUUACACACGCGGUUGAUGUAUUUUAAUUGAGGUCAACUUCGGGUUUUCUACAACCGGACGUUAACAAAUUCCCAUCUGCCCAUAACCGCGGGCACGGCUUUCGAAAGUUCAAUCCCUGCAGGGGAGUCCCAACUUAGCCCAUGACAAGCUCUCACGGUCAAUGAAGGAAUAGACCUCCACCUGAGACAUUCCGAUCAGACUCGGUAUCCCGGUACAACAAGACAUUUCGACAGGGUAAAACUAAACCAGCAACACCGCCCAAAUGUGCCGACAAAUCCCGAUAGGAGCUGCACAUAUCUCUUUCUCAGGGCACACUCAGAUUGUCCUAGGUACGGGUAGGCCAGCCCAGAGUUGCCCCUGGUAGCCACCGGUAGCUGACAGGUGGACCAACACUCAGAGGAGCACUGGCCCGGGGGGUAAAAUAAUGAUGACCCUUGAGUCUGCAGAACCCAAGGGAAAGAAAAGGCUAGGUGGCAAAUGGUAAAACCAAUGUUGGGCAUUGCUGGAAGAGCUUUACUUAAGGCGAACUGUCAAGGGGUUCCCAUUAUAGCCCAACCGCGUAAGGGACGCAAAAUCCGGGAACAUAACACCGAUAUGACGGAAACUAGGGCGGCAAGAGUGGAACAAAACACCAGGCAUAAGGCCGAGCCUUCCACCCUUUACCAAGUAUAUAGAUGCAUUAAUUAAGUAAGAUAUAUUGUGAUAUCCCAACAAGUAAACAUGUUCCAACAAGGAACAACAUCUCCAUGUUCCAACAAGGAACAAACUUCAAUCUUCACCUGCAACUAACAAUGCUAUAAGAGGGGCUGAGCAAAGCGGUAACAUAGCCAAUCAACGGUUUGCUAGGACAUGGUGGGUUAGAGGUUUGACAUGGCAAUUUGGGAGGCUGACAAGCAAAAGGUAGGCAUCGUAGCAUUGGCAUAGCAAGAGCGAGCAAACUAGCAUAGCAAAGAUAGUAGUGAUUUCGAGGGUAUGAUCAUCUUGCCUGAAAUCCCGCAAGGAAGAAGAACGAGUCCAUGAAGAAGACAAACGGACGUAGUUGAACGGAUCCUCACAAACGCGACGUUAUCGGAACCAACCCGAAGAAGCAAUCACCGGAAAAGGAGCACACAACAUAGUAAAUAACCAACACAUCAACAUGGCAUGAUGCACAAACGAGUAUGAUGCAUGUCCGGUUUAAUGAAGCAUGGCAUGGCAAAGUGCACAAGCAGUUCUACAAAUUAAGUGGAGAUCAAUAUGCAACGAGUUGCAUAUUGACGAAACACCACAACAAGUUAUUUAGUUUGAUCUCGUUUAUGUACUCAACAAUAUUAAAUGUUGGUUAACAUGGCAAGAGGGUGAAGCAAAGUAAAACUACCUAUCUAGUCAAGUUUAAAUGAGGCCGGAAGCAACGAACAACAAUUCCGGAAACUCCCCAUAUGCAUAUUUUAGAUUAGGUCCUGUUCUGCCCUAAACACAAUUUUAGAGUUGUUUAAUAUGCAAAUAAAGGUCACCAUGAUAAACUAGGCAAAAUUCUACCCCAUUUACAUAUAAAGUUUAUUAAAAUUGGAGUUACGGUUAUUUAGUUAUGAAUUAAAGCAUUUUAGCAUGGCAUAGGAGCAAAUUAAUGCAAACAACAUUUUUAACAUUUUAAAUAUAGAUGAAAGUUGGAUAUUAUUAAUCUACACAAAAUUCUGAGCAAGUUUCAUAUAUAACUUAUUUUAAUCCGAUGCACGGUUAGUGAGUUAUUAAAUGCAUGAACUAGGGGGACUAAACUGUAAAACUGGCAGUCUCAGGAAUAAUUGGACAAAAUGUUCUGCAGGGAAAAAACAUGAAUCGGGCCGAAUCUGAACAGUGCACUGGGCAGCCCAACAAGAGUAAAAAAACAAGAGGAGGGGGCGCUGGGGUUCGGCUCACCCCUGGGCUGCCCGGUAGCAGAGAGGAGGAGGCAGGCCGGCUUGGGGCUGCGGGGCUGGGCCGGAUCUGGCACGGGAGGAGGCACGCUGGGCUGGCCGGCCUUGGUUCAAUCGGGGAAGGGUCAACGCGCAGCGACCCACGUACGGCAGCGGUCACCUCGUCUCAUCCCGCACGAAGCAGAGGACCAUGGCGACGGCGUAGCAAAGCUCCGGCGAGGGAGGGUCCGGUGGCGCUCGCGAGGGCUGGAACGGGUUACUGGGCGGCGGAUCCGGCCUCGGGGUGCCAGAUCCGGUCGAUGGCGAGGCGAGACGACAGGGAGGCGCGGAUCUCCACCGACGACGACGACCUGCGGGAGGGAGAGGAUGAAGCAGGGAGGAGAGGGGCAGGUCAGGGAGGAGGAAGAGGGCGACGGGGCUCCUGCCUGGGGUUCGCCGGCGAGGGUGGUGGCUUGCGAGGACUUGGCCGGCGAGGAGGGAUCGAGGAGCUCGGGCUCCUACCUCCUGGACGAGGGGAAGGAUCGGGCGCGAGGUCCCUUGCUCAGCUGCUGCACGCACGGGAACGAGGAGGCAAGGGGAUCAGUCGUCGGGGCCGGAACCGAUGCAGAGGAGGUCACAGGCGAGGCGGGGGAAGACGACGGCAGCUGCUGCUUGCGAACACAGCGCCCAUGGUUGUCUCCUGUGAGCGAAAAUAGAGAGAGGGAGGGGAAGAUCGUGAGAACGGGAGGUAGGGUAGCAAGUGGGGAAAAGGAGCAGGGCUGUCGGGGCACUCAUCCCCGGCGACUGGGAGCUGCUGCUCCGGCUGCGCUGGUUGGGUGGCGCUGAAAUUGAGGACGAUGGUCGGAGGCAGGAUGGGAUGGAUGGAUUGGGGCGCUGCGAGGUUGGUGGAUCUGGAUCGAGGGGGGAUCCCGAGGGGAGCGACCAAGCGGUGGCGGCGGGCGGAAUGGGUGGAUGGGACAGCUAGGGGCUAGGGUUAGGCUGAAUAUAUAGCGAGUGGGUAGGCUUAGGGUCAUCUGGUCCCUUCGAUAAAAAUCGGAUGGUCGCGAAUAAAAUAGUUAGGGAGCCCAAAUAACAAAACGGAGACGUUUUGUAGACGUUUGGGGAUGAUCCGGACACAACGGUGGCGACAGUCCGGGUCGGGUUCGGGACAACUUUCGGGCGCGCGCGAGGAGGGUCGCGGGCUGACGAGAGAGGUUAGGUAGGGCCUGGUGGUGAGUAGUGGCUGUGUAGACGGUCUCGAGCUGAGAGAAGAGAAGAGAGGGAGGCCCGGCGACUAUUUCCGGAGACCGAAAACGUCCAACGUUUUGACCGGCUACUAUUGCCGCUAUAUUUAUCCGUUGGGGCGUCAAACGAACUCCGAUUGCGAUGAAACUUGGCAGGCGGUCUGUCUACACUAUAAUAAGACCACACACCAAAUUUCAACCCAAUCCGAGAACAUUUUCCGGCCACUUAUAAAAUAAUAUUUCGGACAUGCCGCGGGCGCGUGCAAGUGUGUCUGGUCUCAAAACGAACAACGGAGAGAACUCGGAGAACCCGGACGAAUGCACGUUUUAAAAACAUGAUGAUGCAAUGCACAUGAUGACAUGAUAUGCAAUGCAUGACACGCAAGCAAAUGACAAGACAACAACAACGAAUAACUGAACGACACCUGGCACAUCGGUCUCGGGGCGUCACACGGAGGAACACUUUGGGUACUACCAAACGUCACAACGUAACUGGGUGAUUAUAAAGGAGUACUACAGGUGUCUCUGAAGGUACAUGUUGAGUUGGCGUAUUUCGAGAUUAGGUUUUGUCACUCUGAUUGUCGGAGAGGUAUCUCUGGGCCCUCUCGGUAAUGCACAUCACUAUAAGCCUUGCAAGCAAUGUGACCAAUGAGUUGGUUACGGGAUGAUGCAUUACGUAACGAGUAAAGAGACUUGCCGGUAACGAGAUUGAAAUAGGUAUUGGAUACUGACGAUCGAAUCUCAGGCAAGUAACAUACCGAUGACAAAGGGAACAACGUAUGUUGUUAUGCGGUUUGACCGAUAAAGAUCUUCGUAGAAUAUGUAGGAACCAAUAUGGGCAUCCAGGUUCCGCUAUUGGUUAUUGACCAAGAAUAGUUCUAGGUCAUGUCUACAUAAUUCUCGAACCCGUAGGGUCCGCACGCUUAACAUUAUGAUGACAGUUUUAUUAUGAGUUUAUAAGUUUUAAUGUACCGAAGUUUGUUCGGAGUCCCGGAUGUGAUCACGGACAUGACGAGGAGUCUCGAAAUGGUCGAGACAUAAUGAUUGAUAUAUUGGACGACUAUAUUCGGACAUCGGAAUUGUUCCGGGUGAUUUCAGAGAAAACCGGAGUGCCGGAGGGGUUACCGGAAACCCCCCGAGAGAGUAAUGGGCCUUAUGGGCCUUAGUGGGGAAGAGAGAGGGGCGGCCAGGGUGGGCCGCGCGCCCCCUCUCCCUCUGGUCCGAAUUGGACUAGGAGGGGGGGCGGCGCCCCCCUCUUUCCUUCCCCCUCUCCCCCUUCCUUCCUCCUCCUAGUAGGAGUAGGAAAGGAGGAGUCCUACUCCUACUAGGAGGAGGAUUCCUCCUCCUUGGCGUGCCCCCCUUGGGCCGGCCGGCCUUCCCCCUUGCUCCUUUAUAUACUGGGGCAGGGGGCACCCCAUAGACACACAAGUUGAUCUACAGAUCGUUCCUUAGCCAUGUGCGGUGCCCCCCUCCACCAUAUACCACCUCGGUCAUAUCGUCGCGGAGUUUAGGCGAAGCCCUGCGCCGGUAGAACAUCAUCAUCGUCACCACGCCGUCGUGCUGACGGAACUCAUCCCCGAAGCUUUGCUGGAUCGGAGCCCGGGGAUCGUCAUCGAGCUGAACGUGUGCUGAAGUCGGAGGUGUCGUACGUUCGGUGCUUAGAUCGGUCAGAUCCUGAAGACGUACGACUACAUCAACUGCGUUGUGCUAACGCUUCCGCUUACGGUCUACGAGGGUACGUGGACAACACUCUCCCCUCUCGUUGCUAUGCCAUCACCAUGAUCUUGCGUGUGCGUAGGAAAUUUUUUGAAAUUACUACGUUCCCCAACAUGGAGGAUGACAGAUCGAUAUGCCACAAGGAGAAGAAUUGUUGUUGAUUACAGGUUCCAUACAAAGGAACAACAGGACUUCUAUGAGACAAUCUUGUUGGACAAGAAGCCCAUAGUGUGUGAUAUGAGGUGGGUCGAGUGGACCUACAUGAAAGACAAUGAAGAACACUAUCCUGGAGUGCAAGACAGUUUUGUUGCUUGUGGAGUUGCAGAUUUUGUUGGGCAAAAGCUCACCAACUGGAAUGAUGAACUCAUUAUGCAAUUCUACUCCACAGCACACUUCUAUCCAGAUGGGAGGAUAGUUUGGAUGUCUGAAGGUACAAGGUACCAGUCAACUGUUGAGGAAUGGGCAAAACUGAUCAAUGCCCCAAAGGAAAGUGAAGAUGACUUGGAUGUCUAUGCCAAGAAGAAGAUGGACCAUAAUUCCAUGGCACACAUGUACAAGGAGAUCCCAGACAAAGCUAUUGAGACACAUAAGUUUGGGUCAGUCCACUUUCUUCUGUCAGGGCUGCCCACUAUCAACUGGAUCCUAAGGCACACUCUGUUGCCUAAGUCUGGUGACCACAACAUGAUUAGAGGGCAUGCAAUCAACAUGUUGCAAUUGUUUGAUGUGCCACAGAAAUUCAAGGUCAUGAGCCUUAUGGUUGAAACCAUUAAGAGGACUGCAGCAGACCAAAAGAGGAGUUGUGGAUAUGCCCCUCAGAUUCAGGAGUUGAUUAACUCAAAGAUGGGCACAGGCAAAUAUCUAUUGGAUAAGGAACAUUUUCCUAUCUAUCCAGACUUUCAGGACAAUCAGGUUGUCAUGACUGAGAAUGAACCAUCAUCAGUACAAGCUCAAGAGAAGAAGGAGAAGGCAAGGAAAGAGAAGGCUGCCAAGAUGCCAACUCAAGAGGAGGCAUCUGAGUACUUUUUGAAGAACAAGCAGGAGCAGCUUGGUUACUUGAUAGCAUCAACUCUGAGGAUUGAGAAGGGAUUGGCCAACCUCACUCGAAAUCAGGAGAGCUUGGAAAGAAUCAUGGAGCUAAAAUUCCAUGAUCUAGAUGUCAAAGUAACUGAGAUUCAGUCAGUUGUGGAGCAGCUACAGGAUGACAUGCAGGAGAGGCAGGGCAAGACUACCACUAAUGUAUUUGGCAGGGUUCCUAGAGCUCAGAGGUCAGCUACAGUGCCUGUGACAGACACCAGAGCCACAUCAUCUGCACCAACUACAGCUCCAGUGCAACCAGCUCCAGCACCAACUCCUCCAGCUCCGUCCACUUCAACUGAAGCCUUCGUUCUUGGAGUUAUCCAGACACCACCACCUGAAGAUCAAGCCUGAGAGUCGAUCUAGCACUAUGCAUUUUCUAUGAAAUUUUUGGUAACUUGUGGCCAAAGGGGGAGAAAAAUGUAUAGAUCAUAGGCUUCGAGAGAGAGUGUGUUGCUUUUGUUCUCUCUUGCUUUAGUGGUUAAACUUGUUUGCUUUUGAUUGCUUGAGAUACUAUGCUGUGUUUGUGAGACAUUGAUGAUCAUGUGUUUGAUCAUAAGCUACACUUAUGCAUGUUUGAUGAUAUUAUCUUCUCUAUCCAUAUGUGAUCAUUCACUUUGCUUGGUGAUGAGUGCAUGCAUUCAACCUUUAUCAUUUUGAGCGCUCCACCAAGUUGUAUGUGACAUGGAAGAGUAACCCAUGAGCCUAAUUCCUUGUGCAUUUGCAGUCCAAAGCAAAUCCUAAACUAUGCACAAAAUUAGGGGGAGCUCUUGCUUAUCACAUACUUCUCAAAGUGACGAUGUUUUUCAAUCUUAUUAUCAUUUGUUGAAGCUUUGAUCUAUAUGUUGUCAUCAAUUACCAAAAAGGGGGAGAUUGAAAGUGCAACUAUCCCUAGGUGGUUUUGGUAAUUCAUAACAACAUAUAACUCAUUGAGCUCAUGCUAUUCCAAGACUAUUAUUUCAGGAAAGCUCAAUGAAUGGCAUGGCAUGGAUGAUGAAAAGUGGAUCCCUCAAAAUACUAAUGACAAAGGAUUGGCUCAAGCUCAAAAGCUCAAGACUCUUCAUUUUAUAUUUUAGUGAUCCAAGAUCACAUUGAGUCUAUAUGAAAAGCCAAUACUAUCAAGGAGGGAUGAGGUGUUGCUUAAUGAGCCUCUUGCUUCAUGUGCUUAGUGAUAUGCUCCAAAAACCCUCAACUACUUUCUCACAUCCACAAAUGACCUAAACCUAAAGCCAAAAUCGGUCACACCAAUUCUUUCUAUCCGGCGCCACCGAGUUCUAAUGUAAUAGCCACUGCCACAAACCCUAGGCAAAUCGGUUUCACCGAUAGGGAUCUCGGUCUCACCGAGAUGGGACUGUAAUCUCUUUGUUUCCCUUCAUAACGUUUCGGUCUAACCGAAGUGAGCGAUCGGUCCCACCGAGAUUGCAAUGUAAACUCUCGGUUUCCCUUUUGUAACAUUUCGGUCUCACCGAAAAGAGCAAAUCGGUCCCACCGAGUUUACCUGACCAACUCUCUGGAAAGCUUAUUACCAAAAUCAGUCUCACCGAGUUUGUGUAAUCGGUCUUACUGAGAUUACGUUAUGCCCUAACCCUAACCAAAUCGGUCCUACCGAGUUGCAUGUCAGUACCACCGAAAAUCCUAACGGUCACUAGGUUUACUAAAUCGGUCCGACCGAGUCUGAUGAAUCGGUCCCACCAAGUUUGGUAAAUUGUGUGUAACGGUUAGUUUUUGUGUGGAGGCUAUAUAUACCCUCCACCUCCUCUUCAUUCAUGGAGAGAGCCACCAGAACAAACCUACACUUCUAACUUACCAUUUCUGAGAGAGAACCACCUACUCAUGUGUUGAGACCAAGAUAUUCCAUUCCUACCAUAUGAAUCUUGAUCUCUAGCCUUCCCCAAGUUGCUUUCCACUCAAAUCUUCUUUCCACCAGAUCCAAAUCCUAUGAGAGAGAGUUGAGUGUUGGGGAGACUAUCAUUUGAAGCACUAGAGCAAGGAGUUCAUCAUCAACGCACCAUUUGUUACUUCUUGGAGAGUGGUGUCUCCUAGAUUGGCUAGGUGUCACUUGGGAGCCUCCGACAAGAUUGUGGAGUUGAACCAAGGAGUUUGUAAGGGCAAGGAGAUCGCCUACUUCGUGAAGAUCUACCGCUAGUGAGGCAAGUCCUUCGUGGGCAAAGGCCAUGGUGGGAUAGACAAGGUUGCUUCUUCGUGGACCCUUCGUGGGUGGAGCUCUCCGUGGACUCGCGCAACCGUUACCCUUCAUGGGUUGAAGUCUCCAUCAACAUGGAUGUACGAUAGCACCACCUAUCGGAACCAUGCCAAAAACCUCCAUGUCUCCAAUUGCGUUUGAAUCCUCCAAACCCUUCCCUUUACUUUCUUGCAAGUUGCAUGCUUUAAUUUCCGCUGAAUAUAUACACUUUGCAUGCUUGAUUGAUUUGUGUGAUGAUUGCUUGACUUGUCCUAAGAUAGCUAAAAUCUGCCAAACUCUAAAAUUGGGAAAAGGUUAAGUUUUUAAUUGGUCAAGUAGUCUAAUCACCCCCCCUCUACACAUACUUCAAGGUCCUACACCCAAUGCCAUCCGAACCAGUGGUAUCCUCUCAACCUGUGAUGUGGUCCAAGCCAAACAUCAUCACCCUCGACAAGUCUCUUCUCCGGAUCCAUCAGCAGCAUUUUCGUGGAACAAUUCCAGCCCCACCGCCCCAACCCAUAGAAGUGUCGGAUGAUGCAGAUGGAGAUUGGCUCAGUCUUCGUCCUCCAGGAGAGCCCCAGCAAAGCCAGUCUUCUGCAUGACCUCAGUCACGCAGUCAGUGGUUCCUGCUAGUCGAUCGGUCUGUCGGUUCAUCCCCGAUAUGAGGAUAGAACCAUGUAUCCCACAGCGAGUAGUUUCAUUUAGCGCGUAGUGCAUCUGUGCUUGUUGUAUGCUGGUACUGUUGUAACCCGUAUGAUGUGUUAUUUGCUUGCUUGCUUUUGUUUGUGUGUUUGUUUUUCCUUGUCUCUCUGUCAAGCAGAAAUGUUUGACAUGGUUGGCAAUUUGUGCUAACAAUAUUUUAAUCAGUAUGACACAUACACUAAAAACAACCUUGAGUCGUCCCGAGUCUUUAAUAAAAUACGCACUGGUGUAGGUAUAUGUAUACCAGGAGUACAUAUACCCACUAGCACUAAAACACCCUAGUGUGAUUUGUCUACUGUGCUUUACUGUUGCAUGUUUAUUGCAUCUAUCUGUUUGUUUAGAUUUGACAGCAUACUGCACACAUACCCGGUUCACCCACGAGUACAAUUGAGCAGUACUCGGGGGAAAUGCAAAGUCACAUAUCCCUCUCUAUCUGUGCAUACCCCGUGUGCCAGAUUUUCCAAACCCAGAACCUCGAAGAGGCCAUUUUCAUCUGGCCAUUUCUCGUCCCUGAUUCUUUUUCGUGAACCCAAUUGUGUUUCCGGAGAAACACUGCCAGUUUUAUUUCUCGCGAUCCAUUACAACUCUCCGACACAGAUUUCAACUCCAAUUCUACCUUGACACCUACAUUAUGUGGAGCGAUCCGCGAAAUUUUUCCCGUGUUUUCCCAUAUCUCUUCCUGGGUGUACCAAUUAUCGGUGCCCCAACUCGUUCGAAUUUGACCAAAGGGUUAAUUUUAACCCAGAGAUUUUUCCCCGGAGUGAUUAUCUUUUCUUUGUGUUAUAACCCUAGGAAUCUCGAGGACAAGAUUCUUUUAAGGGGGGAAGGUUUGUAACAGGCCCAAAAUUGGGUUAUCAAUUUUUGUGUUGUUAUUCCUUCCUGGCACUCAUUUCUCAAAUCUUUCUCCUGAGUUUUGCUAAUGACUCUGAGAAUUAUUGUCAUUUCCAACCUUUCAAAACUUGCUCAUGUCUUUUUCAGUGGGUAAGACCUCAGUUGCAUCAUCUUAAACCCUCUCAAACCCUAAUUCCAAAUUUUUGGAAUUUGAAUAUGACCUUUGUGAUUACAAAGGAGCUAUCAUUUUACUUGAUUUGUUGAUCAUCCCAUCUAUUCCUAGAGACCCUUCUAUACUUCUAAACCUUGGAUAUGCAAAAAUAUUGCCAAGUCCCAUGCAAUAUUUUUGAAUUAUGAUUUAUUCUUGUUCUUGCCUUUCUGAGGAAUAAAAUCCAAAGGCAUAGCUAGCCAUCUCCAAAAUUCAUGUGAAUUGGUGGAGUUUAUAAUUAUGCCUAAUCCAAGCUCUGGAAAAUAUAUUGGCUAUAAUUAAAUAAGGAAAAUUUCCUUUUCCUAUUUAAUACCAAUAUUGCAUUUCUGUCAUUUUCUAAAGGAACUACUAUUUUUAUAGCAGGUAAAAUUCUCACAUAAAUUGUGGAGUUUGCCCUUGCUAUAUAAUCACUAGUUCCAUCCUUAUCUCAUGUUCAUCAGAUCAAAAAUUGGGCACAUGAUCCAAUGCAAGUUUCUGCCUUCUCUAAAAUUUUGCAAAGGAAGUGCUUUAUUCCCGAUUCCAUUUGAGAUGCAAAUUGGCAGGGUGAUUAAUAUUGAUAAAUAACGCAUGGAUACCAAACAUGAGCUCAAUCCAAUCAUCCUACCUCCCUGUGCAAUUUUUCAAAGUUUCUGACCAGAUUGUCACUUUGUGAAGGAAGUACCUUCAUAGAGUUUCCAAAUGGGAUGAAACUUUUCGAUACUCUCAAGUAUCCCAAAUCAUAAGCCUUCACCCAAAUUCAGCUCAUUUCAUUGAGUUGUGUGAGCACAGGAUCAAUUCUUGUUCUCUUUCCAAAUUUUCAGUUAGUGAAGCAAGUAUAUUUUAUCUUGCUCCAUUAUCUCUGAAAAUACUUCUAGGCCUUCUCCUAUCCAUAUAACCCACCUAUCCAAGAGUUUGGCUAAUUUUAUUUAGCCAAUAUUUUUCUAGGAUUUUCUCAAGUUUCUGGUCCAAAGUAAUGCUUGUGAAGAAAGUACCAAUUUGGUAAGUCCAUUUGGGCUGAUCUUUUUACAGAAUCUACUUAUGACCAAAUCGUUAGGAUUUGCCUAGUUAUAGCUCAAUCCAUCACUCCUAGUUAGUGCUUCAUCAUGAUUCAGUUUCUGGGUCAGAUUUGGUGGUUAUACAACAGCUAUGGUAAAUAGUUGUCCUAAUGACCUCAAAACUACCAGGGCCGUAGGCCGUGCUACACUAAGCCUGCCAGACAUCAAGUUUACCAUUUACCAUCUCUGCUUUUACCUCUGGGAUGUUGCCAAGUUUACAGCAGUAACCUUGUGGAGCAUGGUUUACUCAUCUCCCUUUUCCACUGACCGUGUUUUUACCGUAGUAAUAAUCCACUCUGGAAGGACUACGCGGUAGACAUGGUUUAACCUUAGUAAAAUCCGUAGAGCGUGCCAUGCCAGUGGUGACCACGAGGGCAGCCAGCCAAAACGGUUGUCUACCCACUGUUGUCAUAGGCAGAGCUGCUCCGACUGUCUCUGGCCUCGCCAUUAAUGCCCAACAGUUACCCCUCGGCGUCCUCUUCCCUCUGGAACUCUGGCCCCCUUUGUUUUCUUCUCCGGCGAGCCGUGCCAACGACCGGAAUAGUGCACUCAUGUGCAUCGUCGCCUUCUUCCCCGGUGUCCUCUUCCUCCGUUCGUCUUCGAGUGAUGCUCGUCUCUGUGACUCUCUGGCGCUCGUCCACUUCCCCCUCGUCGCCUUCCCCUGCCUCCCCGUGACUGCUGAGCACGGUAGAGCCGCGGCCGGACGCGCUUGGCGGUGCCCGGCUCGGGUGCCCCUGCCCCGGCUAUAAAUAGCCCGUCCGCGCCUCGUCCGAGCUCAUCAGUAGCUCCCCCGCCCUGUUCUACGCCUCCCCUAGCGCUCAUUCUUCCCGAAGCCCCUCUCUGUUCCCCUCCCCAUCUUCAUAGCCGCCGCCUCAGGUCUCGCCCGAUUUCGGUGCUCCCGAUCACCCCUCGCCGUUCCUCGACCACCACUGCAUCCCCCAUGCUCCAGUGAGUCGCCUCAUAGCCCCGGCCUCCUCUCUCCCUCACCAGAACCCCGUGUCCACCAGCGGCCGAAGCCCUGCUCCGCCACAAGCCUUGCUGCGGCCGCUGCGAAGCUCUCCGGCGGCAGCAACCACCAACCCGAGAUGCGCCUCUCCGUCCUGCGCAUUUUGGUAGGUCGCACGACCCGCGACGUGGCCGGAGUCGCCGACAAUCCUCGUCGGGGUGAUCUCCUCCCUCGGCCUCGCUCGCUCCUGAGCCGGAGGUAGAAGACGGCAAGGCCAGGCGGGCCCCCACCCCGUGCGACCCCACCUGUCGGCGAGAGUGUGGUGCCAGGUCAGAUAAGUGGGACGCCCCAGCUCUUUACGUUUUCCUUAGCCGAAGACGUAUUUCCUGGAAGACGCUUUCUGUUUCUUGAAACGUAUUUUCUCAAAGGCACUUUCUCUUCUUCAGCUCAGUCGGCCGAAGUGCUUAUUUUGUGAACGUUUGCUGAUUAGUGCAUUUUCUGCCUAAAAAGUAAACGGCCACAACUUUGCGCUCGUAACUCCGAUUGAGGUAAAUCCAACGCCCGCGUCUUCGUCUCAUCGAGCCCAUUCCGUUCCCAACAUUUUCACUAUGGUUUGACACUGUGAAAAUGACCACUUUGCCCUUGUCCGUAAACAGCCCCCUCCGAGAGAGAACUGUUUCCGGCGAAUUUUUCUGCGGUCGUUUCUCACUUCUUCCCGGAGUAUUUGUCGACCCCCAGGCAAGCCAACCUCUUAUCAUGAGCCCCGAACUUGCAUGUUGACUUUGCUUGCACCUUGUGUGUGUGUAGUUGCAGUUGUUUCUUAUCGUUUUCGUCUGCAGUUAUUUUAUUAUGCUUAUUAUGCAUGCUUGUGUUUUCAUGCUACUUCUUGCCAUGAUAAUUAGAAUGUUGCUAUUGAUGAUGCCAUUUCACUACUCUAAUUCAUUUUCAAGUCAUCGUU